rnacentral:lncRNA from 1 species
UGUUAUUAUCAUUGUUAUUCAAACGAACUAAUCUAUCCUCCGUAAUAAUUUACGAAAUAAGAAGUAAUUGAUCGGAUGUUAUUGCUAUUUUAAUGAAUAUAAUAUAAAUAAUUGAAUAUAAAUAAUUUCACAUGUCGGGACGUUAUAUCGCAGUGCUGAUUACCCGAAAAUUUCACGAAAUGUUUUCUUUUUUUUUGUAAAGUAUCGUGAUACUUGUUGGUUGAUGGAACAGUUUGAGAUGAUGACAGGUUUCGCGAAGAAACAUCAAAACAGGGAAAAUCGCUGUCAUUUUCCACAGCUUACGCCUGUUGGCGGAAAGAACCGUACGCGUCGUGCGUGCGAAAGAAAUCUUCGGCGGGUGAUCCGCGCCGCGCGCAAACAGCGGCCCAGAUUAUUCCCGCGACUGGAGAUUGGCGUUUGGGUUUAGCACGCCCUCGCCAUUCAAAUCUGCCAAUUUCCAAUGGAUGCGGCCGCGUCAUUGGUAGCAUCGGAUGUUUGCCCGACGCUACCGGGUGAAAAGCGAAUGCGAAGGAGGAGGAUGAAGCCGACGAAGGUGGCUCGGCGGACGCACGGGGAAGAAGAAAGAGGAGAAAGCGGAUUCGAAUCUUUACCAACCACUCGUCGAGACACCUGCGGGUGGGAAAAUCUCCUUCGCCUUUGAAAAGCGAGGAAGUGGAGAGGUUUAUUGAGUCCUGGGACACGUAGUCUCUCGAGGACAUGCCGGAAAGUGCGAGCGAAACCUCUUCUCGCACCUCCUUCUCCCGGCCCCGCUACCCUUCGUGAACCACCACGCAUCCCCCUCUCGUCGAUGGGGGAUGAUGGGGUAGAGUGUAUUUACUGCUCGUUGCCGAGACAGAGUGACGUGAGGAGAAAAUACGCUUUCCGCGGGAGCGCGAUUUAAAAUGUAACGAGCAUGUAUAAGCGAUCGAGCGUCAAAAUUCGCUCAAAUUCUCUGAAAACACGCAAAAAUUGAGAAAUAUUGAUACUUUAGCGUAUUUUUAAUGGAUUAUUUUAUUUUUAAAUAUGACAGAAAUAUGGUAAGAGACGGGAAUUAAAUUUAAUUUCCUUGAGAAUUCUUUCCUCGCAAAUCUUUAAGACGCACAUAGCUGAAGUGUACCCUCCUUGAUCUCAGAGUCGAACGAUGAGAGCCAUCGAUUAACUGAACCUCGUUACGCAAAAUGUGAACAGUCUGCGGCAGUUAGUCCUGGCUCUUCGUGAAUCGCUUGUUACUGCAAACGACGAUUGUCCUCACUAAGAAUGCAAAUGCAAGUCUUAUCGCAUUUCAGCCCCAUUUCUAGUCCUUACGCCAGAACCGUUUCAACCCACCCUUCUCUCUUCGUGCGAGGCCAGACUAUCGUCGGCAUUCGCCGAAUCGGAAGCACCGCGAGGACCAACGACGUGGAAGACAAUGACCGGUCAUCCGUGUUAACGCUGAAAGAAAUAGAAAAGUGGAGAGAUUUCGAGUAGCCAGAGCUAAACGCAAACUUUCUCGCGAUUCUCUCACGCGUUCUUGCGGCUCUCCUUUUCUACUAUAUUUUUUUUCCCUAUCGGCUUUGACACGUUUUAAUUACGUAGCUUGUUGCUCUUGAUAAUUAACUUUUGCUUUUUAUCACAUCCUCUUGCGGUAAGAAUUUUAUUAUCGACGGUAGCACGAAAAUUUGCAUUUGCCUGCGUCUGCAUUUAUUUGAAUGACGACAUUGUUGAUCUCAAUUUCAAAUUUAAUUUACUUAUAUUAUGUAGUGAGAUUAUUUUAUUAGACAGUAGCUUUAAAGAAAUCUUUGGCUUUGCUGCUUCCAAAUAAUCGUAAUCUCGCAUUUUGAUCUCAGGAUCAAACGUCAGGAUCGCUGGCAACGAUCGAGAAGUUCGCGGACGGAGAGGCGAAUGGUGCGCGAACCGAAUAGUAGAAAGUCCCAUGCAGGGAGAGAGAGAGAGAGAGAGACAAGGCGGUAAACACGGCAGUGGAGGGAUGAAAGUUGCGUUGGUUGUCUGGUAGGGCCACGGGAGCGCGUAAUUGGAUAUAAUUUUUGCGGGCCGGCUAACCGAAUUAGACGGCGGUGUGUUUGCGUUACUAGCGGCACACGGAUGGCGCGAGAGCGGAAGGGCAGCGAAGGGCUGCCGGGGACGGGGGAGGACGGAAAGCCCGCAGGGUAACAACCGCUGCGAAUUAUUAACAGGCGCCGCUGUACGCGCCCUACGAGUCACGCCUGGUGAAAUAAAUCGGCCGGCGGCGAUCACUGCUGAAAAAGGACAGGUGACUGCACCUGUACCUUCGAAAACCGACAUGUGACAGGAACGAUUAUGGAUUUUAGAUUGGCGGAUGUAGACAAAUAAAGACGAACAUGAAAUCGCUCCUGUUAUCUUCAUCCUACGCAUCGUCAUCAAUAUAUGUAUGUAAAAAGCAUUUAUAUAUUUUAACGACAGCGAAUAAAAACCAAGAUCUGAGAACUUAAGAUUAUUUAAGAGAAAUAAUUAUCAGUUUUUUAUACACGCUUGCAAUAUCUUGAUGAUAAAUGAACGAGAUACCGAAAGCAGUAAUUUUUCUCGAUAUUAAAUUAUUGAUUUUCGCGAAUAAAACUUGGUUUAUAAAUCGCUUAUGUAUCAUACCAUGCGCUACAAUAUUUUUUCAUCAUAUACAUGUUGUACUUUAAACUACCAUACACGCACAUACUUGUAUAAGUUGUUUAAAAUUAUUUUUUGUCAUUCUACUUUAAAUGAUGCGUCUUAAACUGUCCAGCGCUGAAAAAUGUCACAUGUAUACAGAACAGCAAGAUAUCGGGUCACGCGUUGUAUUCAGUUUUUGGCUGAAAAUCCAAAAUUACUUCUCUACCAAUCGAAUAUCUCCUACGUGUGGUUUCAGCUUUCGCUUCGCGCCGUAACCGACUUCGACUGAAAUUGGCAGCUAAUCUCGUGAGGAUAAAUUUAUCGACCAACAGUGUCGGAUUAUCCUCGCUGCGCGCGGCCAUACAUCAGUUCGGAAUUUAUACCAGCAACCCACUGCAAUUUUUAAGUCGCUUUAUUCGCGAGGUAUCCGUGGUUUUACAGUUCCUGAGGGAGAGUUCCUCGUGUGCCGUUAAUUCCCGGCGUGAAUUGCACCGCGCUCGGAAUAAUGCGAGCGACCGGCUUGUGAAACAGUACGUGCCGUGUAAAAGAGCACAGGUGAACGUAAGCGAAAGAACGGAAGCGAGUUAACAGUGGCGGGUUGGGACGGGAUGCCUCUAAUCGAGAGGAAAAACGCGCGCGUACUUCCGCAGCCGUAUAAAAUCGAACAGGUUUACGGGCGGAAUAAAGCGCCAAUAAAACUAAGUCGUCGCCGAGGAAUUAUUCGCUUUCGACGCUCAGAAUACAAAUGAUCGAUGAAGAAAGAUCAUUUCACGCUUUCCCAAGACCUCAUUAUACUAUUCCCAUGAGAGUGAGGAGAGGGAGACUUGAAUUCUUCAACGAGAUGAAUCUCGAUGUUGGUACGUAAACUAAGUAAAUAUAUCAUCUUAAUUUUUAUUCAUGAGAUAAACAAAUAACAAAUGAACGUCAAAUAACGCUCUGUCAUGAAAGGAGAAAUCAUCAAAUAUCUUUGUGCGGUGAUAUAUUACUUCAAGUCCAAAAUUAGUUGAUUUAAUAAUCAAGCUGCAAGAGAAGCUUAUUUCUGUAUUUGCCAGGUUACGAAUAAAAUAUCGGAAAUUGUAUUAGCUGCUCUGAGAUCUAGAAGAAACUCAAAGAAAGAGAGAAAGUGAGAGAGACAGAAAGAAGAGACAUAAAGAAAAAUUAUUUCGCGUGUCUCGAGGACUUUAUCACUGUUUGCGCGAGGAAACACGGCUCUUCAUAAAUGCGUGUACGACAUAAAGGGCGAGGAUUUUUACGCAAGCAUUUUUCCAGAAGCAUCGCACCGUGAAGAGAUGCUCUCGGAACAUCGGCGAGACUGAGUACGUAACGCGAGUGCAUUCUCCAUAAUCUAAGCACAUCGUAGCUGGCAGUUACGAUCUCGGUAGUGUAGAAUUAUACAAAGGAGCGGUGUUACGUUACCGCCAGCUCGCGAGCCUCGUAACUUUAGGACAUUUCGCUUGUUAUGUAUCGCGUCCCUCUUUGCUACUUAAUAUAAUAGGCUGCUCGCGAAACGUAAUAUGCACGAAGACAAUUCCGAGGAGGACAGAGUCAACAGUGUGGUCAUUGACCAACCGUCUUCGGUAAUAAGCAUGUAAGGUCUGCUUAGCAGUUUAUCGUCGUUUGACGACAGCGUUCGGAAUUGAACAUUUAGAAUGUGCAGUGCUGCAUCUAUCGAUGAAACUUUUAUAAACUCCUUCAAAUUUUAAUUUUUACGUGAUUACUUUAGCUACCUUGAAGAGUACUGAAAAAUGUACAUUUAAUAUCAGAAAUUAUUCUGAAAAAUUUUGUCAAAGUAAAUGGCAUCUAAUUUAAUCAAGGCAUUUCAUAUGUACAAUUAUAUGUCGAGAUGUUAUACGAAACAUUCCAAGUUGCUGAAUUCAUUAUUCCGCUCUCCAAAUAUCAAAAUCAGUUAAAGAACCAAUAAAACGAAAUACAGCGUAGAGACGAUAUUUUGUUUCAUAAAAUCCAAUCUUGUAUGUUUCAACUCGAUAAGUGGCGAUUCACCGCGGGGUUCAUCUCGGUGCUUGGGGAAAAUGCAAAAAUUGAUACGGAGAAAGUAACGAACCGACCGUAUCUGACGUCCAUAAAAUUUCCCUCCUGCCGUUAUGAGUAGCGAAGAGGCGAUGCUCGUUCUAGUUCCAAAGUAUCGAUACAGAACAGAGGGUCCAAAAUUGCAAGACUGUCCAUAACCGGCUUGCCUGUGACCAGCGGUUACGUGGUCCGAGUACGUUAACGUGGAAACCGCAACACCAGGCGGCAACGACGAUGUUGUUGCUGUUGCGUCAUUUUAGACCGACGUUUUAGACCGCCAUAAACGAUCCUCUUCAGCCUGUGCCAACUAAAUAAACCUUGCAACAGUGUAUCCCGCUUGGCCGGUUUGCUACCUGCCACGCAAUGUGUAAGGGUGUAGCUUGGAAAUAUUUAAAUAUUUUUUGAACAUGUACUUUCUCUCUCUCUCUCUCUCUCUUGUUCGUUCUCGUUCCUGCGUUCACCACGAUCAAAUAAGUUAUAAUUGCUUUUAGCAACUACAUCUUUUGUAAAACUAUGCCACAACAAAGACACGUCACCUGUUUCAAAAAACGAAAGAUGAUAUUAAGUAGCUGUUGUACUACUUAACAAGGAAAUAAUUAGAUAUAGUCUAAUUCUUUCCUUGUUUAAGGUAGCAAAAGUUUCUCCGCGUUUAUCAAAUCUUGUGCUUCAUCUAUUUAUUACACGUAUAAACGAAAUUAUUUUUCAUGUAACAAGUGUUCUGUUUGUUACGCUUUGUUUGUGUGGCUAUCAUCAAUUUGAAUAAUUAAUUUAGAUAGAAGAAAAUUAUGGAGAAUGUAAUGCCGUUAUUGUUCAAUUGUUAUUUAUUAAUUACAUCGCGCAUCAACGCUUCAAGAAGCAUCUAUAACCUCGCUACAACGAAAUUCUUGAGCAACGUCAGAGCAUGAACGCCGCGCAUGAAAGCGGAAAGAAGUAGGAUUUCCGCGCUACCCCCCAUCGUUCCUCUUGAAAAGGGCACACUCUCGGUCAGCAGAAAUUUAAUUAAGAGGCACGCACGUGGGUUCACCCCCGCCCGCGGCCGCCCCCUUUCAUUCUCUUUUCAUUUGUCAGAACUCCGGCUCCUGGGGGUGCGAUCCGUUGAUUAGGAACGCUACCGCCGUCAGCAGUGUCACCGCCGACGACCCGGCUCGUCCCAGAGGUUGUUGCACGGCCAACAGGAGGACACGAACGUCUCCACAGCCCCGGCUUAGCCUGACGUCCCCGGCGUUUGCUGCCGAGGACGCUGCAGGACAUCAGUCACCAUUAAUCAUGCAAGAAUAAUUAACGGGGCACAAGCCUCUGAUUAGAGAGUUAUCGUUGCCGAUGCGCGGGAACGCUUAGAGAGCGUCGCGCCGUCCUCGUGGGACGACGAGAACGCCAUGGCUCGUGGUGGUGAAAUUGCUCGCCGGAUUCCCGACGUUUAAUUACGCCGCGGGUUUAAUCACGAAUCGAAAGGAACGAAAUCAUUUCGCCGCGCGGAUCUCCCUCACGACGCGAACCGGCGAAGCGUCGGAGCUGCGGUGAACGAAUAACCGGUCGACGACGACGACGACGAGCUUGAUCGAGCAACGGGUAACCACCAUUAAGGCAUCGAUCGCGACGGCGGGGGACAGAAAUACCAAGAUCCGGCUAAGUGAAUCCAGGACGAUCUUUCGGGGUAAUUAGCAAGGCACCUAAAUCACCGGAGUAGCAUCGGUCGCUGGCAGAUAGGCUACGGUGCCUGCGGGCAUCAGCGCGACGCUACUGGUGCAGGGGUAUGCGGGCGUCGAGAGGAGGCACGAGGGAGGAAAAGGGGGUGUGAAAGGAUAGGGGUCCUUCGGGUUCCUAUCUUUGUCUCAAUGUGCAUUGAUUGGACAAUGCUCGGUGUUCGGCGACGCGCUGCCACUCUGUUUCUACGGUUACGCCGUGCAUUACCCUUCAUCCCCCAUCUUCCCUUACCCUUAGUCUCGCCCGUUACCUAAGGAGGUACCCUAAACCGCUACCGCGCGCCGAUGCCGGUACUCGAAAUUACUUAGGCGCGAUAACUGCGCCUUCCAAGCCACUCUCUAACGGGAGCGGGCCCCGAAACCCAUCAGCCGAACAAGCAGUCGCGGAAUUCUCAUUAACGUCGUUACUGAUUAAGGAGAUUAUUGAUUAAUGUGACUAUUACUUAAGAAGAUUAUCAAUACGAUUUCCGUAAAACUUUUCAGCAAGAAUCAGCGGCUAAAGUAAAGCGCAAGAUAAGAAAUCAUGUAUUUGGUAAAGUUAUUUAUCCUCAGGACAAUUGGCUCAUCGAUAAUCGAUGAUGAUUCCAUUGAUUACACGCACGAUAGUCACGAGAAGACGGAAGUACGUUCGAGGUUCGUCGAAAUCAGGUGUCGGCGCUUAAAGGUGAUUAGAGAGUGUCCAUCUGCAGGCUACUAUUCGGGGCACGCUACUAUCUCGGACUCGCUCGCAAUGAAACAGCCCUUAAUAGGAUGCACGCGAGAGAGGCAUCGGUCUCUGUACACACUUGGCCUCUCCCUCGGGUCGAAAACGCUCUAUAAAUCCGCGAAGUGCCGAGGGGCUGAACGCCCGUGGGCGGCUGCGUCUAUCGCGGGCAACGAUAUAUAGAUUCGUAUCGUACCGGUGGCGGUAUAUCAGGUUUUAUGGGCGCGGUAGUUAUUUACGCGAUAGCUAAAAAUGCGCGCGGAAACAGCGGUAAACGCGCGCCGAAGACAAAGACGGGGUUGGGAAGGGUUGGGAACGUGCGGGUGGGUUUCCUGCGGGGGUCGAAACCGGGUGGGAGAGAAAAGACGUGCCGCGCGCGCGGGCAUCCGUGCGCGAUUUCGCGGGUAACAAAUUUAUACGGGAUCGUCUGAUUUAUCGGCCGCAAGUUUAACAACGGCCAGCCGAUCGGCCCCCGGGAAAAAGGGACGAGGGGCUGCUACUACCCCCAGGGAGGAAGGGAUGAGAGGAACUGCCUGCCGAUGGAGAAAUUUAUGACGCGUUCGUACGGGUUCCCGCAUUUUCCAGCGAAGUCACUCUCGACGGUCUUCCAGCGAGAUAUUCAAUGCACCAAUCGUCGAUUCAUGAUGUGCGUGACAAUUCUCACCGCGUGUCGAACGAGAGAAUGCAAGUCGCAUUGCAACAAAAGGAAUAUUUUCUACGAAUAAGAUUUACGGAACGAGUUUUAUUAGUUCUGCUCUAGGAUAUAGCAAAGUUAUUAUUUAUGUAACUUUAUAAUUAUUAAAUCCCUUCUUUCUUAAAUUAUUGAAAUAAUUUUUUAACGAUAAUGUUACUGUUGAACGUGUGGAGAAAAUUGCGGAUAUUUUAUUCUACCGUUUCUGGCGAAAACAAUUAAGCUUCGUCAGUUUUUAAUUUUCUUGGUAUCUGAUAACAAUGAAACGAGGGAAGGUUCAAUUCAGUUCGUGUCUGUAUCGUCAUUAAAUUAACGUUAAUGCGACGAUAAUGGUAUUCAGUUUAGAAUUGGGGCAGCACGAGGCGGAAUCGAUCCGCUGUCAGAUUAUGCUUACGGCGACAGUGAUCGAUAACUGUAUAAUUUCAAUGAGCCCAAUAUCAGACGGCGCAAAUACCGUCGAAUCAAACUUUCAGUGUAUCAGAUCCACAACUUCUUUAUGCCUCAUUUAGCGUCAUAAAUCUCGCCGGGAGAAAGAGAUCUAUGCUGUUUCUCCUUUUUCUAUCUGUAAAGUUUAUAUCGACUAUAAAUAACGCUAUUUAUUUAAAAAACAGUAUAUAAUUGUACAUAUAAGUAUGGACAGAAUCAUUGGUCAAAUUCGUAAUACAAAAUGUAUUAUUGAUAUAUGCAUUAUAGAUAAUAUAUUCACUAUUUUAUACUCAUUUAAAAAUAUUUCAUCAUUAAUUAUUUCCAAGAGACGAAAAUAACAGUUGAAAUUACGUUUUAAAUUGAAAUUUGUUUGUUUCAUGAAGCAGAUUAAGGUUUACGAUACAAUCUCACAUUUUAAACAGGAUAUACAUAUAAUAUCAGAAAUAUUUUACUUUACUCAAUUGUAUGUAAAAUGUCAUUUUAGUAUACCAAAUAUUAUUAAGAGAUUCCAUAAUUUUACACUAAAAUCUCUUCAAUAAAUAUGUGAAAAUUAUUUUACACACCGAUAAUUCUUCCAACAUACCGAAAAUGAUGUUAUCCAAGAAAAUUUAAUUUUGCUAGAAUUAUGUAUAUAUAUCGCAAUCCGCACAUAUAUCUGUUUUACAACAUACAUAUUGUUUUUAUUAAACAAAACUUAACAAGAUGAAAGUAUAUUUUUAUGAAAUCAGUUUGUACAUCUACGAGUAUUAUCGACUAUAAUCAGAGGUCUAUAUCUUUCUAUGGACUUGAUAUUAUGAACCGGAAUUAUCUCGAAGAAAUAAAGCGAAAGUAAUUGAUUUCUAGCCGAGUUCAGUAGUUAGUCGAAUGGCCGAGAAUGAACGCGAGACGAACGAGAGUAAGACUGAUAGAAAAAAAAGAGGAAGAAUCGUUCUCCGGUUUAGAGAUUCACGCGGGAGGUGCGGGGCGAAGUAAACUGGGAUCGGGAAUGAGAGUUGUUAUUUCAGACUUUGAGACGACGUCGAGGUUCCCAGUUAAGAAUUAGCAAAGUAAUUAAGAGUCCGGAAAUGGAGCAAAAUAAGGGCGGGGAGCUUAUAUCCAGGAACUUAUACCGAACUUGCUGAGAAAAUAGUCUAACUUGCCGCGGAGACGGAGAAAUGCGCCACGGCUCUUUUCCGUUUAGAGAAUCCGGCGAUAUUCCCUUCCUCCGUUCAACCGGUUCCAGAACUACUUAGUCCGCUCAAGUAUCAAUACUCCUUACGACACGAAGACGAUCUCUUCUUAACAAAUAUUCGCUCUCAUGCGACUAAUUCGGGAUUAAAUAAUGCAGAGAAAAAACGAGUAACGAGUGCGGGUGCACUAUCCCCUUUAAGAUAAAUUAAAUUAAAAUAAUUUUUCCAUCGGAAACCAAAGGGCUUCUGCAAAGUAAACAGUUUAUAAUUCAACAAUAAAAAUGAUUGUGCCGGCAUUAUAUCCUCGAAUACAACUACUUGAAACGCAGUACUAGCUGCACAAGCAAGUUUGAAGCGGGUCAGUCCUGAUUCAAUACUUUCACGGCGACGACAGAAAUCUUAACGAUCCGAACGUUCGUGGGAGGAUGAAGAGGACGAGAGAGGCGCGGAUAAAAAGUGAAAAGUAUAAGCGACAGGAGCGAGACGAGGGUAAAGGAUAAUCGGAAGGACGCGAUGGCGGGACCGUCAGGGACAUCUGGCUGCUUUGUCUCCGGGCCAGGACACGCCUCCUCCACGAGUCAGCUUAGCCCCAUAAACGCUUUUCUUAGGGAGGCAAUCGAGUCCCUUCUGCGAUUUACCGGCCAUCGAGGGCGAUCUUUGCGCCAGACAACUACCCGGAGGACCACCCGCCCACCCGUAUCGGGGUGUCCACGUAACUUGGCGAGCCGUGACGACGUCCGCCUAAGUUGGCGGAAUUUCACAUGUCGAGAGGCAGCAGUUCGGCGGGCAUUCGAUUAACCCUGAAGAGUUUGAGACCGGGAUAUUGUCACGCUUUAGAUUCACGUAAACAACCGCUUUCGGGUUAUCACCCUGGUAAUAUCUUUUCUCAUCAAUACAGUCGAUUGACUGAAAGUAAUGGCAUAUCCUAGCUCAACCUCGUGCUCGACGUGCUUUGAAACGGACUUCUCAAACUUCCUCAGCUUGACGUCGAACUCAAACGCGGAUCGCGGUCGAGACGUGGCAGCGAUCAGUCUUCGUAUUGGGAAUCAGAUCGGGCUUUCGAACGUUAAGUGAGCGCGACACGCGAGAGAAGGAGGAAACGGAUAAACGGUAGGCAGGGAAAAAGGGACGUCGACGCGCUCGGCGAAAUUUGAUUUUGUUACGACUGUUACGGCCGUUACGACUGUUUGCUCGUCGCGACGCCAGGCAGACGGUGUAUACUUUGAGCGGCAACGGGCAAACUCGCUGACGAGAUGUACGCAAGCGGCAAAACUCGGCGAUGAGGCUGGCAAAUUCACGAGCCGCGCUGCGAACGCGUACUUAUACUCUUCCUUUUCUUUUCUUUCUUUCUGUCAAAUAUAAUUGUAUCAAAAUGUAGAGACCGUGGUAGCCAGGCAUAAGAAUAACGCGAUAAAUAGUGGAAAUGCGGCGAUUGAGUGAUCCGAGUCAUUAACAGGUUACUGGUUUGGUAAAAACGCUUCUGAUUUAUUAAAAGAGCGUCUGCUAGCAACAAUAUUUUACAUCGUCGAGAAAGAAAUAUAAAAUUCUACGUUCCCGAUUUGUGUAAAUAGUAGAGGAGAUUUACAUACUAUUUGCAUAUACCCACUAUUUUAGAUUUUACGUGUGUAGUCAUACAUUGCGAUAAAAUUGCACGCAUCGUAUAAACUAAUAUUAGCUCUAACAAUAUAUAUAAAGCAUCGAGAGAAGUAAAAGGAGAACGCUGUUUAUCAAUCGCGACGCUGACAAAAAAGAAACAAAUCGCUUGCAAUCAGCCAACAGCUGAAUAGCAGGGAAGUAGAAAUAGGCACAUCAGCAACCGGCCGCAAAGUGAGCGUCCUGGUGAUAUUCAGAAGAAGAGAAGAGAAAGAGAGAGAGAGAGAGAGAGGAAGAGAAGAAGAAGGAUCGCCCGAAAUUUACACGAGACGAUGUGUCGUAUCGCCACUCGUAGCGGAAGCCUUGAAAUUCGGCCAAGUUUGAUUGAAAUUUGGCAUCUCGCGCGGUCUUGGGGGUGCAAGAGGACAGGAAGAGGGAAGGCGGGCGGCGAGUGAAGAAUCGCGAUAAUAAAAAAGAUCGUUAUUACAAGCCAACGCGAGAAAAAUGCGCCGAGCGAGGGCUGGUCCGAUGUCGUUCCGCCUGAACGCACAGGUAGUUGUUCCGCGCAAUAAGGGGGUGAGGAAUGCCAGGGAACACGGGGCGGGGGCGGUCUCGAGUGCAACCGGAAGGGGACGAGAGCGAACUUACGAGUGUCGCACAAAGAGACGUUGGCGGAAAUGCAGCGGCGACGGCGAUGGCGACGACGACGGCGACGACGACGACGGCGGACAUCGACGGCGCGGCGAAUGGCUCUCGGGAUUUGAAAACGAGCUGCUCAAAAAUUCGAUUACCGUUGCGAGGGAGGAGGGCCCCGGACAGCGGAGGAGAAGAGACGGGGUGGAUGGUCCCGGCUCCGGAAAUGGGAGCGCGUCUUCUGAUUGGUCGGGUCGGGAGGAAAUCGCCUCGAGAUUGGUUAUUAUUACCCCGUUAACGCAGUUACCGUCGCCACCAAUCGCGCUCCCAAUCAUCUUCGUUAUCGAACCCUUCGGAGCUCGCGCGACGAAAUCGCCUUCCUCCUGGGGCUCUGCCUGACUCCUUCGACCCUUGGUACACGGGCCCCUCUCCCGUCCCCCGCUGCCCGCGGCCAUCCGACGACGCUCUUGCACGCGCGAUCGACUCUCGGAUGCUCGCCGUCGAGUCGGAUGGAAACCGCGAAUUUAUAUGUCUCAUCAUUGGCUGGAAACGCUUCUUAUUGCGCUUGUUAUUGCAUACAUGUGGUAGGAUUUAAGGAUGCAAUAUAUAACGUAAAAUAUUAAAAAUUUCUUAACUCGUUUUCCAUUUAUUGUUCCACUUUAUUAAUUUUCAAAAUGUUAAUAUUUUAUUUAGAUGUGUAAAAAAUGUAUCUAUUCCCAUUUGCGCAUAUUCGUGUCAAAUUAUAGCAAAAAUAUGAUUCUAUUGUUGUCAUCUGCUUGUUCAGAACGAAUUUCAGGAAUAAAACAAAUUGAAACAUAAAUAUCUCCGGAAACAAAUAUCCCCGACGUCGUGGCGUGCCAACAUGCAGCUGGAGAGCGUAGAUAAGCAACGACGCGGUAAUCCUGGGACAAUGUAUAAGUUAGCACGGCUAGACAUUGCAUAUUACAUUAACAUUCUACCAAGAAAAUAAAGAUAAAAGAGAGAACAGUAGAGAAUUUCAGACUUCUAGGCCAGCUUAAAUAGUUCAACAGAUCUCAUCAUGGAGGCCUAAAAUUAUAUCUAAUAUCUAAAAUUAAUUUAAUAAAUUUCGUCUCUCGUCCAUAUCAAUCUUAAAAUAUAUUUAUCUUGUUAUAAUUACAAUAAACAGUAAUGAUAAAAAUUACUCUUUGUAAAUUGCAAGAUUACUCUUGAUAAAUAAGUGCACAAGAUAUGUGCUAUUUUCCACAUGUGCGUGAAAACCGGCGAUGCGUAAUAACGAAAAUAAAUUCGACACGAUCAUUGUGCAUUUCCGCUGUUUAACAAACCCGAUAAAACUUCCUUACACACUGAAUAAAUUUACAGUUGUGCAGGUUUGCGUUACGCGCUGUUAUUAACGCUGCAUUUCGGCAUCGCGAUCGGAUAGCGAGGAGAAUUUCAUAAUACAUCCGCGUCUAAAAAAAAAAACAGGAAAAAAAUUCUGCCAGGAGAAAGGAAUUUUUCAGAGCGCUUCGCCUCCCAUGCGUUCCGCGGACGCACAAUGUCUAUUAUAUCCACAGCAGAAAAUGUCGAUACUAAUAAUAUCCGGCAGAAAUUGGAUAUGCCGCCGUGGAAAAAGGAAAAUGGGAGGAAGGAUACUCGUUAUAACGAAACAAAACGCCGCCACGAUUGGAAGAGCGUGGUGAACGGGGACCGCCGUGACUGAUGGUAACGAAAUCCGUACGGGCAAAUUGAAUUAUAAUUAGCACACUCGCGACUCGGGGCGACGCGGAGAGCGAAGGGCCAGGGAUGCCUUUUGUCUUCAAUAACGAACCAACCGUCUCGGCUCGCGGAUAAAACAAGAUUUUAACGCCGAUAUUAACGCAACUACCAGUGAAACUGCAUUACUCGCAGUAAGCGCGAGAUCAAUUAAAUAAUUCGUUUCUUGGAAAUCAUUUUGAUUUAAGGAAAGAGGAAAGUGCCUUUCGAGUCGAUCGCUCUAUUUCGAAUGCUGCGAGUCUUCUACGUUGAUUCUAAACUGGAAGUUGCGUUUUCAUCUCUCAAAGUUGGAUGUAAUUACGAUAACAAAGCUUGUUUUAGAAUGCGUGCUGAAUAAUUAAGAUUUACGCGCGAUCAUACAGAAGAUUACAGAAGACCUUAAUUUAUGAACCAUGAUUUCCGUAACGAUUCCUUCGGAAUUCACGUCGCCAACCGCCGCGGCCGUCAGCUUCGAGCGGCUUCAAUCGAUUUACAGCGACGUCGCGUUUUUCUCUCGUCCUACAAAUCGUCCCGGAGAGAACGCCUGCUAAGGGACAAUUAAUCAUCCGACGAAAUCCAGCGGAUAUCAUUGUAAUGAGUGCGCAAGAGGCACGAGACUGAAGUGCGUGCGGUCGCGAUGGGGUAUCACGACAAUUUCGGAUAGGCUGACAAACGGAGUGACAUUGCGUAUUCUUUGUGUGAUCCGCCGAUCAGUUCUCCCCUCUGAUACAUCUAUUUACCUGCACAGUUACCAGGAGACCGAGCCGAUAGCGACGUCAAGGGAUCCUUUCCUAACAGAUCGACCGAACGCAACCUAAAAUUAGCGCACGCUAACAUACAUUUGCUUCUUUUACAUGGAAUUUUAUUUCCCAAAUAAAGGAAGCUUCAGGAAGCUCGAAAGCAAGUUUUUGGUUUGAACUAAUUGCCUCCGUAAGCAGUUAAAUAGAACGUGUCUAAUGGAAGAGAGAAGGGAAACGAGCACAGAAUGCGUUGCCCGAUAUCGUAUGUCUGGUCUGCCGUUUUCCUUCGCACGAUCAAUUAUGAUGGCGAGAUAGCCACGCGUUACUACCACAGAUAAGGGAGGGGAAAGAUUACGCUUUGUACUUAACAAAUGCCACAAUGAUUUACGACGUAUUCCGUGGUGUAUCGUGGAUUUGUCGUGAAAAGAAGUCACAGUUAUGAUGAUGCGACGCGAUGCAAGAGAUUCAUGAUGUUGAGAUAUCGCGAUGAUAGACAGAAUAUUUACGAUGUUAAUAGUCACGCGGUAAAAACGUUGUCCCGCGUGAUUAAGAGAUUGUCAGCUGGAAAACGAAACAUUCCAGCGAUAUUAUGCGAGGAGACUGCAAUCUCGGAUAAUCAAUGUUUCGAGUUGAGUCAUACUCAAAGUAGCAUCGUGCUCGGAUUUUUCUUCAGUUGAGAUCAUAAAUAGAAACGUUAAUCUAGUUAUUUUUAAUUGAAACGUGAAACACAGCGUCUUACAAUGAGAAUUGAAAUAGCAGGAAUAUCACACUUUUUCGUCUGCUAUAUAGUGACAUUACAGAUAAUAACGCAAAACUGUAAUAAUAAGCAAGAAAUAUAAAUGAAAAAGGAUAUAAUACAUAUAAUAUAUAUAAAUAUAUAUAUAUAAAACGUAAAUUGCUUAUACAAAAAGGUCGCAAAGAAACCGCAAGCUCACAUUUAUUAAUGUAAUUAAUGUCCCAAGCUUAAUUAAGAUUGAAGCAGCGCGGCAAAGCUGCAGCUUACGUUCUCCCGUUAUAAUCUCAUAACCGAAUAUAAGCAGAAAUAUUUAACGUAAUGGCUUCGCGCAGGGAAUACAAUAAUAAUACCUGCAGGGCUAUGAAAUUAGUUCCACGCAGAUAAUUCUCAAUUGUUCAGCUUACAAAGCGAUACUUCGAUCGAAUGGCGAAAGCUGAACGCCGAAGCUCAGUAAAUACGCGAUGAGGGCUCGAUUUCAUGCGUACAAUUCGAACCUUUCGGCAGGGUAACUGGACAACAAUGUUUAAUGGUAUAAUGAUAUGCAAUUAUCGCAUCUAUCCGCUUGCAUGGAUUAUUUUUGCACCCAUGAAUGUAAUGCAAACUAGGUAACGCGAGAAACAAUAGAGAUAUCGCAAAGCAAUUUUUUUCCUAUCUGUUUAUUUUUCACUCAAAUUGCAAAGCUCGAUUUCGAUACGAAGUGUAAAACAAACAAGUUCAGCAUGGAGAACUCGAUAAAUAUGUGAUGAGCAACGUAUUACAGUUCUCGAUUCGAACGUAUUACAGUUCUCGAUUCGAACGUAUUACAGUUCUUUUUCUUUCUCGCUGGCCCUGCCGCUCAGAAUAAUCCAGAUAAGAGCAUUACGAUUUUCCAGAUCUAAUUGUAAAAGUUGAAAUCGAUAUAAUGACUGUAAUUCCAAAAGAUUCCGUCGGGAUUUCGCUGGAGCAUGUAAGAUGGAAAUCGAUCUCGAUAAUAGCACGGUCGCGCGCGAGGUUGACGGGGCCGAGAUAAAUCUCAGAAUUUAAUAUCCUUCGAGGAGGUACGUGAUAUUUUCGUAAAAUCCCUGCUGCUGAACGUCGUACCGAUGACUUCUGCGGGGGUUUUUGUUUAAAAUCACCGAAGAGUGGAGCGCCGCGCCUCACAUGACGGCUGCACCACGGGAAGAAGGGCGCUUAUACGUGUCUGCGCGUAACGACGACAGACGGAGCAAGAUGGAGAGGACGAGAAGGAGAAGGAUUAUUGAUGGGCCCCGAUAGAUAAGACGCGAGGGUGAACGAAUCGCUGCUGGUGUAAUUACGAAAUGGCUGUUAGAAACGCCGGCGGUUACGCCGGCGUGAACCUAUCCAUCAUCCUUCGUCGUUCUCCGCGGGGUGGUGCAGAACUCCCCCGCUUCCCCCGGGCACUUCGCCCCCCUUUACCCGGGCUGUCGGCUGAUUUCAUUUGCGCUUUAACGCCUUCCAGAUGAUCAGGGGAUCGCACGGCGUAAUUACCAUGAAGUGGCUUUCACCGGGCUGCGCCCGUCGUUUUAUGCCCUCCGCGCGCGAGAGUCAUUGUUCGUAGAUCGCCUGCCUUCCUCCCUGUCUCACCCUCACGCUUUCCGCCACCUCCCCGGUAGAGAUUGAUCGUAGAUCAUCGGUGACGUUAUCGUGUCGCCGCGCGACGGUGACUGACGGAAGUUAUAGGGAAUAUCAGAGGGGACAGGGAGGCCGGGGGCAUCGCGAUUUCGAAAAUGAAAGGCCGAAGGCUCGAUAACGCCAGUUUCCAUGAGAGAACUUUGAUAUUCUGUCCUCAACGUUUCUGCCGUGCAAUUUCCUCGCCGAAAAUUUCAAUUACUAUUCUCGAGUACCGCGAGCGAAAUGAUUGACACCAUUGUAACCACAUAUUGACAGUGGUUUUAUGAGCUCGUCUCCCGAAAGAUGGGAGAUCUUAAAAAGAGAUCAUUUGCUUCUUGAGGACGACUAAAGUUUUAUGUUAUGGCACUUGCUGCCGUAAUGAAUGUUGCUACGUUUCUCGUGGCGCGUACUCCCCUUUCAAGAAUCAGUAAUUGCCCGCCUUUAUAUGGGUUACACUAAAUUUAUCUUUUAUAUCUCAAAUACGUACAUCUAGUGUACAGAAUGUAUCUCCAAUGUUUCUGCGCUACUUCUCAAGCUGUUGCGCGCUGUUACUCUUGAUUGACGCCUCGAGAUUUGCGAAAAAUUCAUCUAUCGGAAAAUUACUUACUUCACAAGCCGAUAUUGAAUUUACUCGCACAGACUAGUAUCACGGAUCGUACUUAUUUUCUUGAAAACCCAAUUUUGCAUAAGAGCACACGGAGAGAACGUUCCAUCGAGCGUAUCUUCUCGGAGGCAUGUACGUCGCAAAGAUUUCAUUGUUGAAAGCUUUAAUUAAAUCUCGAUCGCCCUCCGCCGAUACGAUUUACACCGGCAAACGUCGCCUCUUCCUCCUCCUGCUCUUCCUCCCGCAGCCAACGUUCCUCGACGAACUUACCGCACCUCCCCUGCGAGCACCGCCGAUGGUGGCGCAAAGUAAACGGGGUGGCGAGUGACGUGUUAUUUACCGCCUUGCUGCAAUCUCAGCUCGUCGCCUAUCCGGCAGCCUCUCACCGAACCCGUCGUUUCUCCUGCCCUCUUCCGCUAUUCCACGAUCCCGGCUUCCUUCGAGGUUCAUCCACUUCUGCUCGUCGUACGGUUAAAAGUCAGCCGCUCGCUACUUCGGCGGAAGUUCCUCUCGACGUCUCCCAUCAUCUCGUUUUUUUUCCCCACCCUCUUUGGCUCACGCUAUUCCUCGACUACCGCCGCCGCCCCGUCCUCCGUUUCCCGCGUGUUCUCUCCCCGGGUGCAAGAUUCGCACUCGCGAAGAAAUCGCGAGCGAGGAUUGUCCGCGACGGCACUCGGAUCAAAAUGUAAGAGCGAGCGGCCGGCCGGCUGAAACUUCGUGAACUCUUGGUUACUCGUAGAACAAACAAUUCGACCUUCUUGCGAGCAAACGCUGUCGCUGCGCUUGCCACGGACCAGAUCUCUUUCUCCUAUUUGUCUUUCUUUCAGGGGGAACGUUGUUCUCUUUUUCCGCAAGCGCAACGGUCGCGGCGAUGUCGGACGACAUACGUACGCUUUCAGUCUGAUGUCGGGCACGAUAUUAUUUCCAUUAAUGCGACCCACAAAAUUAACGCGCUGAGACAACCGCUGGCACACUUUCUGUCGACAGAAAUAAACGUUCCCGACGGCGACGUUCAAAAAUUGUCGUUAUUUAAACAAAGGACGAAAGCUGACUUCGUUGUGCGGAUAAAACGAUGUCUUUAAGAUAAAGACGGGCAAGCUUGUUGGAAGCGGACGAAGAUAGACAAACGCUUUUAAACGGAAAGAUUACAGAGUAUUAAUCAAAAAAUACGUUUUACGCCAUGUCAAAAAUAAUGGCCACGUGGUAAUAUUUAUUGAUUGGCGAUAACUGACGCGUGAUAACGCUGACAGGCAUAUUUCUCUUUUAUUCUGUUUCUGACAUAUGUCAGAACAGAUCUAUGAAUUCCAACCGGGUAAAGUCGGCUUUUUAAAUUAUUCCCGCAUCGGACAUAGUCUUCCCAUGUCCGAUUGCACCCUCGGCCGUAACGCAAGAUUUACAAUCCCUAAAUUAACAAGAAAAUAAGGAGAGAAUACUAGUGAGAACGAAGAAAGCGGACCAAAGCGUACACUUAAUAUAAGCCGUGUAUAAAACGUCUCGCUCGUGACGAUCUCUCAACUACCGGCUACCGUUCGCGGUCAGUUUCGGUUUUUAGGCUGACAAGGCAGAGUACAGUCACACAGAUAUUAAUUCGGAGCAUUGCAUCGACCCCUUUUCCCAGCUUUCCUCCUUCGGACGAGCGCGCCCGGUCGGAGCAUUGGGCGUUUAUCACCGUCGCUUGUUCCAGGCGAUGCCGACACAUAAGUCAGAAUGAUUAACACGCGAGGUGUGCGUGACUGGCUCCGAGCGACUCAAAUUUUAUUCACUUCUCGCUCCCUCGCGUUCUCCCGUCUUUUUGCAGCAUCGACCUACUCGCUCGCUCUGCCUGCUCGCCCUCGGCCAACCACGCCGGCAGUUAAGGUCGUGAAGUUUAAAUUGCCACGUGCCCGCCACCCCGACGAGUAAUUAAGGCCUCCUCCGGAGCUCGUCGAACGUUCCUCAUCCAUGUCGCGGACUUUCUUUCGAUAACGUCAACGGAACACCUAAGUGGGCGCGAACGAUCGAGAUUUAUUCGCCGUGCGGUCAACUGCUGACAGAUCCCCGCGACGAUCGCGAUCGGAGUGUUCACAGCGAGCUCUCGUUGCGUAAUGGCGACCUCGUUUCCUAGUUAUCUCAGAAUUCCAUCGAACUUUUGUCUGUCUGACGAUGGAUGGUAAGUAUAUGAGAAUUGAAUAUCACGCCAUUCGCUGCUGCGAAGAGAAGAAGACAAUCGAUUCCGGAUAACAGGCGUAGGAUAACAGCAUUGCAACAAUAUUGUAAUAUGUAUGACACGUAAUAGUAAUGUAAUGAUAUAUAAAGGAAUAUCGAGCAAUGCGAGUAACGCUCAUGUGGGACGAGAUGUAACAAAGCGAUCCAGUAACAGAAGGAAGUCCCGUGUUACAUUGAUACACGGUGUACAUACACGUGACAAGGAGAGCGCGCCUGAAAUCAUUACAUCUUCAAACAAGCGGGGGUGGAUUGCGCCAUGUGCAAUUACUUCACUUGCUGGAGUACCAUCCAUAGGUAGAAUGAAAACAUACCUCAGGGAACGUAAUAAAGAUUCCUGCCCCGGCAAUUCCUUGGAUUUGAGGGCUCCUUAGCCGUGGAAACUCGGGAAAUCGAGUGGUUUCAAACUUCCUUUAACUACACUUGGCUAACGUAUACUAACGCGUAAGUAUAUAACGUCAAAUAUCGCGGUGUACCUUGCACACGCUGCAGUCUCCCUGCAGUAUACGCCGAGUAUUACCGCGGCGAUACGCUAUAAGAAGAUACGGUUUCGUCGGACCAACCGAAAAGCCACUCACAGCCGUGGAAUGUAAUAAUACGUACAUAUAUACAGCGUGUUUCUGCUCCCAUGGUGAGCUGCACGUCGCGCAGUAUCUUGCGCGAAAUAAUUACGACGAAGUGCACACCGUUCCGUUACGAUAUCGCGCGUUACGUUGCAAGCGAGCACGGAUUUAUUCCGCGUGCGCGCGUGUUCAUGAAAGACUCGAAUCGCUCGCUAAGAGGCGAUCAAUGGCAAGGGGAUAUUUUCGAUUCGCAUUGCGGAUUGUAACGGCGGCGGGGUACGUUUUAAAUGUCUGUACGAUUGAUUCCGUAGAUAUAUCCGCAAUAUGGUAAUCCGCUUUUCGCGCGGCACAUCGCGCUUUACGGUAAUCUCUCCCCCUUUCCUCUCUUCAUCUCUCUUCCUUCUCUCUCUCUAUUGCUUCCCUCCCUCUUUGUCUCUCCUUCUCUCUCGUAUUUGCUUAAUGUAUAAGCAAUUUCCGCGUCGGAGGCGCCACAGACAGUUUCCUAUAAUAACCCACUUACUGCGGCCCGACGAUGAACUAUUGUCGCGACUCGGCCAAUUCCGCCCGGAAUUGCGACUACCGCACAAUCACGAGACACCUCGAGGCAUCUUGACCCAGAAAUCGAAGCGUGCCUCUUGCGCAUCACCAGGACAAACGAAACGAGCCGGAGGAUGCAAACGGACCGAGGGACGCUUCGAAAAUACGAUAAACCACGGAGCGGUCGGGACAGUACAUAUCCCGCUCGGGGUAAAUCACAUGACGGAGAUGGGAGGUAUUAGGUGACGUGCCGGUGGCUAGGAUUCACAAUAAUCCCGAAUCGACGCUGAGUAAUUUAGACUUCUGGUUGGAGACGGCAAUGAGAGCGUGGAAAGCACAAGCGAUGAACGCGAGUGUCACGCUCAGCAUUUUUAUCCCCUUUCUCGAUUUUUCUGCAAUUUAGACGAGAAUUUUAUAUUGGGAAUAUCGAAUCGUCUUUCAAUGUCAAUUUUGCAGCUGUUUGCGACCGUUUUGAGUUGAUCGAUUUUUUAAUCGUUUCGCAGAGACAAAACAUUUAGGUAUGCUAUGCCGGCAUGCUAUGGCUGGAAAAGCAGAGACUCAAUUACAGAUACUCCGGGUUUGAAUCACGAUGUCACCAGUGCAGAAACUUACAGUUUAAAAGUGUUAGAUGCAGCUGAGAGGGUAGAGAGAGGGAGGAAGCCGGGGGAGCGCUCCGGGCGACGGCAGUUUCGCUAUAUCCUAUCAAGGAUCGCUUUUACGGGUCGUUGCGUUCCACAAAUCGGUCGUCGGUUUUAUUGGCUCCACACCCAUGACGACACGUGGUCGCGUCUCGCUGCGUUUCGCCUCGCGGAAACAGCGGUUUUACGCAUUUCACGGUAAAGGGAUGACGGGGGCGCAGGGGUGGCUCUGGAAAAGAGACUAAAAAACAGCGGGGUUUGCGGCAAGCGUACAUCCGGGGAUCGCUACGAGCGUUCGUAAUCAACGACGUAUUAAGCUCUUUGCACGUCGAACUUCGCUGAACACCCUUCCACCCCCUCCUCUUGGAUUCAUAACGCAACUCAUCAGGCAAAUGCACGAUCGAUAUCGCGCACUGAGCACCGGGAACUGCUACCGCCGUCUAAUAACAUGGCAAAUAUCGUAUCUUACCCCGGACCUUCCUCGCUCCACCAUCCCUCUUAUAUGUCUCUACCCUCUUCCCAUCCCUCGAUCCUGAUCGAACAAAUGCGGCUAUCAUAUUUGUUCGGUCAAUGUGACUGGCGCACCAAGCCAUUCCAGGACGGACGGACGGACGACCUGUAUCCUGAAUCAAUAAUCGACAUACACGUUCCACGUUUGGUCGCGAUGGAGGGUAUUUUAACGGCAGAUUCCCCGAAUCCGAAAUCGAUUCUCCCCUCGCCCCUCCGUUUCCAGCGGAGGUGAAAACCGACGUAAAUCCAACGAAUUUCAGGUUUUCCUGAUCGCCCGUACGCGAGAGCAAGUCCAGUGGCGCAUGAGAAGCCAUAAGCACGAAAUCAAUUUGAUGAUUUCAAAGCGUUAAGUUUUAUAAAAGUUUGGAAUCAAUGAUAAGUCUUAAUCAUGAGCGAUUAAUCCGCUUACACACUGCUUGCUUACUAAUUCCUGCAAUUAUUUGCAACUGUGGAAACGCAACGAUGCGGGGGACAUUUCCGGUGUUCGCAGCGUCGAAAAUUAGGCCUGCGAAAUGACCCCGGGCCUUUCGAACCCCCGGGGCAACCAACCUGGUUGUCGCGGUCGCGAUCGGCACACCGGACACGUAUGCGCGGGCAGAAACGCAAUCAGCGAAUUCAUAAGACACUAAUGCCGUGAAUCGCACGUGGCGAACGAUGGACGAUGUGAAUAGCGCUAAUCGCUCGUCAUAAUAACACCCGUGUCACCCUGUUACUCGCGCCGGGUAUUAUCCGGCGAUAAUCAACGGCCCGUAAUUGCGGGGUACUCCCAUUUGCGAGGUUAAUUGUUCUGCUACGAUGAUUAUCGGCGCUGUUACUCGUGUGUUUUACACCCUUAACGAUUCGCCUCCAACGCGCGCGGCUACGUCACGCGGCUGUUUUCUUACGAUGCCCGGGAUACAUUAAUUGCCAUUACGAACGGCGCCAUUAUCGCGGCGCGCAUCGCGCGAAAUCCGAUCGUGCCGAUAUCGCAGCUGAUACUGUAUAAUAAAUCCAUUUGUCAAGCGUAUCUCAAGCGUGAUAAUUAAUGGCGAUGUACGUGAGAUGCAAACUGUAAGAUACGAUCGUUGAUGCGAUACAAUCUGGGAAAGCGAUGUUUUAAACAAUUCCGCAAACAGGAAUCUACAUUUGUAAUUCUUCUAUCGAUUCGAUCUUUUAACGUCUAUGUCUAUUUGCCGUAAAAUGUUUUGAGGUUGCAUCAUUUAAAUAAAAAAACCAUUUUAAAAAGUGCUAGACUUGUUAAUAGUAGACUGUUCCUCCGUUUUUUUCCUUUUUGGAGAUAGUCGGCGAGGGAUUUUCAAAAGGGGAGCUUCGCGGUAGGUAAAAUGACACGGGACGAACGAUGUCAAAUAACCGUUCCGGUAAGUGACGACACGUUUCGCGUACGCAGUUGGAGAUUUUCCGGCGCGCUUGCUUCCGGGGGUUCGCGCAGUUGCAGGCCGUCGUCAUCGAGCGAGCUGCGGCGGGCCCGAUUUGUUAUUUAUCAGGAAUCUUGUCGCCGAGAAGCGGCCGCAACUGUCCGGGCUUGUUCCGUUUCAGGGUUGGCGACGUCCGAGUUCAUUACGGGUGGUCGGUGUAACCGCUCCGUGUAUGCUCCGGCAUCGCCGGGAACCGGGAUCCCUAGGGGGGGCCUGCACGCCUGAUGCUCGCCUCUCCAUCGCCCUCCGGCCAGCCCUCGCCACCCCCGUUUUCCCCGCGUGCUAUCCCGCCAACGAUCGCCGCAGCCAACACAUUUCCCGGUACGCGCGUUAUGAUAUUGCUAUAUUAUGCUAAUUACGCAGUGGCCGCUCACGGUCAAUGGUGCAUACUAAUGGCCAUAGUCGCGCAACGAGGUGCCAUUGCGAUUGAUCAAAGCUGCUCUGGUUAUGCUAAUUCGAGCUCAACCUGGCGAGCGCAAAGCGCGGAGAGCGACGCGAGGGAUGGACGUAGGGUGGGAGGAGAUGAUGGAAGAUGAUGGAAACGCGGAAACGCGGAUGAUGACGAGGACAAAACGAUCCCGCGAUAUCAAAGGGAUCAUUAUAUUAUCGUUUUAUUACUGCGACUCAUUAAUACGUGUAGUAGCUUAUUAAUACAAAUUGAAUUGAAUCUACGGAACAAGAGCGGUUCCUCUGUUGUAUUAAUGUUAAAACCUCGCCAAGUUUAGCGUGACUCACUUCUCAGAGGGCUCGAUUGCAAGCAAAUAAAUUGGAUGUUUCAUGUAAUUCAAGCUUCAAGCCGUCGUUUCUUGUGUAUCGCGGGCUAAUGUUUAACUUCAAAUAAAGAACUUAACUACGAGAAGCAAGCAUUUUGGAGCAAAAGUAGAGCUUCUGAGCCGUUUGCUCAAAGUUACAAAAUCUAGGCAUAUCUUUGUGGUUUGAAAGCUGCAAAAUUGUACCUGAUUUCUGGAGCAUCCAACGGAUCAAUAUAAAGAAAUAUAAAGAAUAUGCCAGGCGAGUUUUUCAAUCCAGCUGUAUCAUGUUACGGGGAAAAUAUCGCGCCAACCGUAAAGUUGUAAAAGCUGCUUUAAAAGAUGCGCAGGAUGAUAAACAAUCGCCCAUUUCCAUCUGUCAGAAACAAAAAGAGAGACGUAUACGCGUGGAAGGAAAAGUGCGAGAGGGAGGCAGAGGGCGGAAAGCAGCCUCCUGACAGCAGAAAUCGGAGGAGAAGGGCGCGGAGAAAUGGGGAAGCCAUGUCAGGAGGAAAAUCUUGGUGCUUUAGGCGGCGUUAUCCGAAUGUUUAAUUAACACGUGAAGUAACUUAAUAACUAAUAAGUCGCUCGACGGAGAGACGCCGCCGUUUCCGCGCUCGUUCGACGAGCAUCGUGUCGCCCGGUGAUUACAGACUAAUUGAAAAUGAUGAUGACAGCGAAGGAGCAGCAGUCUACUCGAAACGACGCGAAGCUCUGCUCCUCGUGGGCGCAAUGAGCGAAAUCGUCAAUUUAAAUAUGAGGGAAGAGCGCGGAAAUAACGAAAUGUAAUCAAAUCUGGGCGAGAAGUAAAGAAAAGAAUUUGAUCCCUUUAUACUUUCUAACGAAGAUGGAGUUUCUAAGGACUUAUCCUUCCACUUACAUAUCCGUGAUAUAUUCUUAAGCCAUAAUUAUAUAUUUCGCUGUUAUUCUAAAAAUAACUUGAGCGAAUUUCUUAUUUCUCAUUUUGUGUAACAGUUUCUUACAUCGUAUUGAUCACUACACCGUAACACAGCCGAACUAACGGUUUGCCGUCUUGCGGAAAUAAUCGCAAAUUUCUGAUAUGGCAGUAAAAUUUUAUUUUCGAGCUUUCAUCCGCAUGGAUUAGCGAUUUUGCCCGCAGUUUCGCCUCGCGUGCGCUAUCGUACUUUUCACGAUUUCCAACUUCCCUCUAUCGCGAGGAAAAGUGAGCGUGCAAGGCGAACGAGACGGUGGAUGCACAUCAAAUUUUAUGCGAGCACAUUCAUAUGUCCGUUAUGUUAAUAAUUUCUAUCGUUCGGAUUUUUGGCGAAAGCAGCCAAAUUCUAGAGAAAUGUGUUUUGCAAGGUAGAUAAGAGUAACAGAAACUGAAGCAUAGUCUCUUUCUAUUUAUAAAUACAAGAUAUUAUUUCUAGCCAAUCAAAGUUGUUUAUAAUAUUUAUGUAAGAACAUAUUAUAUUCGAACUUCUUCCAUUGUGAUUAAUAUUUCAUAUGUUAUAACUCUCUCUCUCUCUCUCUUGGCGAAUACGAUAAUUAUAAUUCAACAAGAUUGCACACGUGAACGUGCAUUGCAAAAAGAUAGAUAAAAAAAAUAAAGGCAUAAACGUUACGCGUGUCAGCGGUCAACGGUCGGGAAUAUAUUAAUUUGCUCGAUUUGCGGAAUCGCGAAUCAAUGCGAGCGAAACGAAUCGAGAGUCAAGUUUAAACGGGCGCAGCUGCGCUCUGCACGGAUCACAAUUCCUCCACCUUUCCACCCCUUGCGACUUUCAUAAUGAGUCCUCAGGUCGACGCAUGAAUAAGGCAUUAGGAAUAAAUUCGCCGUAAAGACUGGCGGAUUAUAUCGCUCUGGAUAUUGCGUUCGAAACAUCCUAGCCGAUCCGCCGACCGCGUAAUUCGAGCAGAUUCAUGAGACGAGCCUUCCUCUCGGAUCGAUAGGGCUCUCCCCCCCCCUCUCUCUCUCACACACAUACCAAACACACUCUAUCUCUUACAAUUUGAAGUGGUUUCGCCCACGGAAGAAACGCGCCCGGUACACGUCGCGCGGUCUAAUGUAAUCGCGUUUACGACGCUACGUGUCGCGCGGAUUCCGCUUGCGAAAUCGAGCGGUAAAUAUUUGAAACGACCCGUCAUUAGGCAUUAGCCGAGACCCGUCGGCGAGCCACUCUUAAGCUUCCGGGCCUCGAAGAGGAAAUCCCGGCCUCUCGGCUCGCAACGACCGGCGGUCGUGCAUCCUGCAGGAAGCGGACACUAACGCCUGCCACGAUCGUUUCAGGAGUUUGCGACGAGGACAGAGGAGUGGAGGAGUGGUCGAAGAGGGAAGUCGACGAGUUACAACGGAACUAACACGCCACCGGAAUCGCCACUAAAGCCGUGGAUCUCGGAACGGCAUUAAGCGACCACCGUCAUCGUGAUCGAUGUCAAUGCGACGGUCCUUCGCCCAAAUGCCCUCGACUAAGUCCUUUUAUAUGUGGGCGAUAUUUUGUUAACAGAUUUGGGACUAUGUAAUUACUCGUGAGAUUAAGCCAAGUCGUCCACAAUAUAUGAAUGGUCCUCAAAGCGCAAAACUACAGAUUCAAAAUUAACGUUACCAUAAAUAGCAUGUAUUAUACAAUGUAACAUAAAAAUUUAUAUAUUCAAUGUAUUUUGUACAUGCUCUAUUUUGACCACUUUAUAAUUUCAACAAGUUCAACUUGCAUUUCUUUUUUCGAUUCAAGCCGCUGCUCGUAAAACUCAUUUACGAACGUGUGUUAAUUUAAACAAAUAUGCAUGAAUCUUUCAACUUCUUUUUCCAUACAUGAUAUUCAGACACCUUGCUAAUUUCCAAAGAAAUGCCGUCUUCCAAAAGAUCCUUCGCAAAACACUACGUCAUGGACAGUAGAGGCAUUAGAUCUCGUCGCGAUCGAGAGUGACAAUAACCAAUCGCGACGCAGCAAGAAGGCAGCAGGUACCAGGGUGAGUGGUGAAUCCCAGCCGGUGUUCCAUGCGAGAAAAGUUUGAUUCGUUUUUCCGUGCCGCGCGAAGACACCUACGUCACCGACGUAUUUUACGCAAAGUUUCCCGGCAACGGCAACAACUUCUAUUAUCUCGAAAUUCCUCGUAUCGAAAGUCGAGGAGAGAAGAAUGAGGAUCGCGGUGCCAUGGGAAAGAGGGUGAGAAAGAGAGAACGGGGAAGGGUUUCUCGGGCCCAGGAUAUACCGGGAAGACAGCGGCCGAGAGAGCGGCGGGGUCGAGGGUUAGACAGUUCUUGCACUGUCAAUAACACUCCCCCGGGGCGUGAUAGAUUGGCCCACCCUCGCCAUCCGGCCACCAUUUAUCUACUUUUUGUCCCGCACACUUUCGUCCCGUGGCCACCGUUGCCAUCGGCGGUGCCGGGGGGGUGUUUACCGCCGCGGAAACUAGAGGAGAGAAAGACUACCGGCGGAACCCUUCGCGCUUCUUCCUCGGUGCUUCGUCCACGUUUCGCAAAGUCUCUCCGUUAUGCGUCCGCUCAAAUCGAGGGAGGAUUUCAGUCGACUCGGGUCAGAAAUAGAUCUAAUUAACGGAUUCGAAUUAAUUAGCGCGAUCGCCCCUGCUGUUUGACUUCACAAACCGCAACUGACUGUAAUUACGCAUUGUCACCUUAAUGUUUACGACGAUCUAUUUUUACUCUCUCGGAACCGUUCAUAUCGUGAACAAGAAAGAAAGUUUUGUAACUUUGUGGUAUUUUUUAUACGUUUAAGCCUUUAAUGUGUGUCACGAAGUCAUAAGUCUAGUAUUUUAUUUUCUGACGCAGCUUUUAUAAUUAACAUCAUAAUUAUGUAAUGCAAGAGAAGAGAAAGUGAGAUAGGAAUAUAUGUAAUUUUAGAUUUCAAUAAAUUUGUUGAAUGUAUAGUACUACAUUUCACUUCUUUAACCGCGGAAUUCGCUUUCCGGGACGCAUAAGAAAUAAUAUUCUUAAUAAACGAAUUUCUCCUCGGAAUUUCUCCUACAAAAGUUUGCGAGAGAAUUAAGGACUUGAGCUAAGUUGGGCGGGAAAAAGAUCUAAUUAUCGGAUUCGAAUUAAUUAACGCGAUCUCCCUGCUGUUUCACUUGAGCCGAAGGUUGGUGAUGAUUGUAAUUCAAUAAUUCGUCACCUUGAUAUUAUAAUUAAGGGUAAAGUCAAUCGAGAUAACUUCAACGGCGCGACAAAUGCAACGCUCGAUGAUUAUCAAUGACAUUUACUUCGAAUCUCGCUACUCAUCCUCCUUUCCUCCGUCACGAGUCGAUCAAAUUGCGAUCAGGCGCAAUGAACAUACGGCAAAAACACCGUUCAUUAAUUCAUCGAAAUUAAGAUUCGGUACGCUGACGGAUUAUCGAGAUCAAUUCCGCGACAUACCUGCGGUGGCAAUCUAAUCCCAUCCGCGUGAACAUCGUAAGGGGAUAUCCGCGGGAUAACUUCGCCAAGUUCGAUUCUUGCCGAUAAGAAAAACGGAAGAGAUCUCUGAAAAGCCUGAAAUUCAUUGGCGAAUAGUUACAGGAUACCCGACAUUCCCGACGUCGGCGUGGUCGAAUCAGGAGAGGGACGCCGAUUGAAAAAGUUUGCACCGACUCUGCCUCUUCCUCUCUUUCUCUCUCUCUUUAGCUCUCGCUCUCUGUAUCUCUACCUCUCUUCCUCUAUUCUUCUCUUUUUCCCCGUGCUCUCUCCCACGAGGACAGGGAAUUCGCUCGCGCGGAGGGGGCAAUGAUAGAUAGAUAUCUUUCGAAAUAUCGAAAGCCAUCAAGUGAAGCAUGAAGUUCCGGCAACUCGAAAGCAAGACGCUCACCUUGGAAGGAAGUAGCGAGCCACGCUCGGCCAACCUGACCCUUCUGCAAUUAUAUCUAAUUAGAGAAGACUAACGGGUCUCAGUCUCAACAUCGAUUUCUUCAGUCGUGCCCUCGGUCGCCGCCAAAGCCUUUGCCCCUGUCCUCUUUGCGCGCGUCAUUUCGAGAUCCUUACGGUAUUUGAGACCCUACCCGUGAUCAUACUCCACAUCGAAUUAAUAAAACCUAACGAGCCGAGCUCCGCGAAAGCAUCCCGCCCAAUUACGUUAUUUUCCUGAAAUGUGCCUUCGUCUUUUAUUCCCAGCUUUCCUCCCAUGCAGAGAUUUCUGGAUGAAAAGUUAUACUUACGCUAAUAGCAUUAUUCUUAUCAUCAUUACUUGACAGUAUCAUAUAGAAUAAUUUCACUUUUAAAUUUGUUUAGAGCAUCAAUUCAGUUUUACAAAAUUUUUUAAAUUUCUAGUAACGCCUUCGCGCUAUAUCAAAAACAAGUUUGAUAUUGCGAUAAUUCUGAUAUGCGGCACUUGACGACAAACGUGCGCUCAAGCGUAGAAAAGUAACACAUGUUCGAACAUAAUGAUAUAUGACCAGAAUGAUUAGUUUCUCGAGAAAAUAGUGCGGAUCCAGGAGAGAAAAGACAGCAGGAUUCAUGGCGUAGGCGGCGGAAAUGGUAGAUCGUCGGUGGAACGCCAAGUUGAUAAUUGGAAAUUCAUGAAAUUCUCAAAGUUGUUCUAAUCUGUUUCACCCCCGCACACAACCGUCUGACCUCGCUGCGUAGCCACAAACUGUAAAAGAUUAGGAAACAUGCUUCCAACAACCUCCAUUUCCGUACAUUUACUUCGCUUUAAAAGAUUUCUCGAGUAAAAUGGAAUUAAAUGCAAUCUUGAUCACGUUGUAUUUUUACAUGUACGUGUAUUCGAGAAUAAUAACGUCUUUAUCAAUUAAACAUACAUUUUAAAUUCCAAUAAAGACGUGUUACUGGUCUGAGGUACGUGAUAAGAUUCCGAAAUAUGUUUCUGGUCCUUUGAAAAUGCGCGAGAACAAUUGUAAAGUGGUCGAUGCAGUGAAUAAAGUGCCCGCAUUGAACAAUUCACUUUUGAGAUACAAGCGAAACGACACAACUGAAAGCAGUUCAGUUCUUUCGCGAGAACCUUCGACCCCGAGUUAAGAACUCGGAGCAGCAGUCAACGGUAAUCUCGGGAGGAUAAUAGGUGGCCCGGGAGAGUGUAUUGUGCACGUCUUAGCCGAUUCGCAAACGAGAACAAUGGUCCGGGCGUAGGUUAAUGACCAAUCCCGAGAAGACGGGGCGAAAUUCCGACGCUAGGUGAGAAUCGGAGCCGGCAACCUCGAGGAACAACUUCCAUUGGCUAACAAGAGCUCUUUUCGAAAGCACUCAAGACUUUUAAGACAAAGUUUUUAUUGAUGUUAUGUCGCUGCAGAAAUCUUCUUUGAACUGCCACGAUGAGCUUUGUUAUGUAUCUUGAAUUAUACAUCGUGCUUUCGCGGCGCUCGCUGUUGGUUUCAGAUCCCGAUUCUUGGAUCAAUUCGACGUCGAUAGUUUCGAGGGAACUUUGCUUUCGUGGAAGUUUAAUUCAACAAUCGAUCGUCAAGACAAAUAUUGUUUUAACGACUUUCUUAACUUUCAUUAUCGCAAUUGUUAUUGCACUUUCGAUCUAGUGACCUUUCCAAUUUGAAUAAGAAAUUUUCGAAACGCUGCAGCGUAGACCUACGCGGAGGAAUUACUUCAUUCGCGUACAGUGUGUGAAGAAAGAAACUUACGGAUUAAAGUCCGCGCGGGUGGGAAUAUUAAAAAAGGCUGCCAACGCAUUUUCAUCCUAUAAGCUACGUAAGAGAAACGGCCGUAAUUAUCAGGCAGAUGUGUGCCGAAAUGAACUUCCGACUUAUAAAGUUAGACGAUUAGACUUUCCCCGGGAGGGAGACCUCGGCAGGUCGGCCGAUCCGAAGACUUAAUUAAGACCUUUAAAGGACCCGGGCGGAGGACCAUCUCUCUCGAUCAAGCGCGGUCGAAUUGCGCGCGGUAAUCACGGCAUCUCGAACGAUGGAACAGUGCGAUCGGCUCCUGCGGAGGUGGAGCGCUGGCCGAAAGAGAUAGCGGCGGUGCAAUUAAGCGUUUAAUCUGAGAAGUUCUUGGCCAGAUCGGGACCAAGAGUCCCGGGGACGCGACGUUCGGACGCAAUUACAGCGAGGUUAUCGUCGCGCGGAGCUUCGACAGCAAGAUCCGUGAGACGGGAACUCCGGCUCCUGGAGUCCAGUCCGACCGGCGGAUCUACGGGACAGGGACAUUCCAUUGUGCGCGGAAACUUCGGAAAUGAAACUGGACACAGCGGCUGAGGCUAAGGAUUUAAUCGAAGUACAGCAGGACACGGGACGACCUAAUUUUCUGAUGGCCGCGAGAUCCGUAACGCACUCAAGGAGCGGUUUAGCGUUUCAUGGUGACCGCACACCACUAUCUCGCGCUGAUGUCGGGGCGGCGAGCGCCUGGCGAACUUUCGAAAGCACGGUUGCAAUCGCCGGCUUUGAGUAAGUUGCGCUGCCGGGAUGAGAGAAGCAUUUUGGAUUUGGCGUGAGAAGCUCGUUAAAGAGUCGCUAAGACUCGUUUAAGCUGCCCGCCAACAAACUUUUAAUCUGCGGGUGUUUCAGCUAUGAAGAAUUCCAUGAAGACUUCGUUUGCGACUUGAUUACGAGAUUAAUCAAGAUUGAAUUAAAGUAACACUAGCACCGAGAUUAGUCGGAGUCCUGAUUACUUUAUUAAAGUUGUCUUAACUACUUUGAUAGCACAUAAAUUAUCAUUAUGUAAUCUACUACUGCUUAAAAGAGCGAUAUCGCGAAGGACAAGUGCGUUGAUUAAUUCAAUCUUAUCAAAUCUUUCGAAAUUUCUAGACUCCAUUUUCCUCAAUAACUCUCUAAAGAACGAUCAAGUAAUCACGCUUGCGGACAAAUCCGCCAAUUGUAUCGCAGUGUGUGUUCGUUCGGAACGGCACAUUCACCGAUGAGUCCCACGUGUGCCACUGAGCAGUUAAGAACACAGUCAAUAAGAGAGGUAUUUUCCACUCUCCCACACCUCGAAUGCUCAUCAAGAUCGAAUGUGCACUAUAGAUGCGCCCUUAGCUUCCGAUUCUCCUCUAUUCCAGGGCGGCUGGCGGAGAACGAGGAAGCGAAAAGGAACGAGACGGAAACGUCACCCUCGACGACGGCCGCAAUUGUCGUCUUAUUGGUUCAUCGGAAUCACAGAGCGACCGGUCUGACCCGACCCGGCCCGGCCCGGCCCGGGAUCGCGUGUUGCAACGUCGAUUCCGAAGGGAUGGAAGCGGGCCUCGGUGCCAGUCGGUGUUCCUGGGACGGGUUUGGGGUCCCUCCCAGGCCAUUGGUUAUUCAUGAAGCUCCGUUCGAAAUUGAGAGACACAACGAAGCUUUACCGGGGAUAGUCGAGCUAUCGAUUGUCUGGCAGUUACUUCAACGAAUACGCUCGUUUAUCCGUUUUCCCCCAUCUCCCGAGCUCGUGCGCGACCAAAGCGAGGAUCGAGAAGCGUCACUGACGGAUCGUUUAUACGCUUUCCCGAUGUGGAAGACGGAUACGAUAUAUCGACACGGCAGUUGAGCGCGGAAACGGAGACUGAUUCCGGAAUGCUGGCUCUCGACGAAAGCUGUAUGUUUAAAGGCGUAACGUGGAAAGACGCGGAGAUGAGAAUACGAAAGAGCGGAGGAUUUAUUUCAUUCCUGGUAUCCUGGUGUCCACAUGGUGGACAAUUUGCAGAGCCAACGAAUGUCUCAUUCGCGUAUCGUCAUUAAAGUAUUCUUGUGCGCGGCAUUCUGAUGCGGAUGAAGUAAUUUCUUGAAUAAUGCGGCUAUUUCGUGAAACAUACUUUUAGGUAUGCUUAGUUCCAGGUACGCGGACGAUAAAAUGUCCGCGGAUCGCGUGGUCGUUGCGAUGAAAUCAGGUGGACGACGCAAGAAAGCGAAUUUCAUAAUUCGAUAAAAAUGCUGUAUCGUUUCUGAAUGGAGACAUUUGAUGCUUCCACGAGAUUUCAAAUUCGAAUCAUCUGAUAUCUGUCGCAAUAAGAAUAACCGAACGGCGCGAAUAGCCGUGCCAUUAGAAGAGCGAUAUCGCGGAGCUCAUUGCCAUCUGAACUUUGCUCUACAUUAGCGAUUUAUAAAUAAGUUAACCGAUUUUGCCGUGAGAACAUUUGCGUCAGGCAAACGCUAAAGGUCAAAAGUAUUGGCGCACACGGUUCGAUACCGAUCAAAAUUUUAAUACUUAUAUAGUGUCAAUAAAUCUCGGCAGAUGAUGAAAUAUCUGUUGCAUCGGGCAACAGAAGUUUAAAAUUAGUUCCGCACCGAUAAACCUAUUUGAUCGAAUCAUCCAUCUUAUUGAUUAGCUGACAAAAGUACGCGAUCGUAUCGUACUUGCACUUCAACGUCUCUCUCUUAUUUUUACGUCGCGAUGUCAUUUAUUGCUUCGAUUAUAAUCUGAGUACGAACGCAAUUUGCGAGUACAUCGAACGGAUAAAUGGGUUCGCUUGAUGCUACGGUGAAUUAUGUGGGAAAUUCAUGAAAUCGAAUUUUUGAUAUGAGUAACUCCUCCGUACGAGUAAGUCGGUCUCUUUUUCACACCACGAAAUCGAUCAUAAGCGACUCAUCGUAAAAGCAUACGAAUAACAUCGCGUUUUCCUUUCUCUACUUCGCAUUAUUAAAAUCAAUGUUUAAUCUUAAUAACAUCUCGAGGUUCAGACCAAAAUUCAUGUUUUGGCUUUCGGUUAGACAUGCAGAAGCACGAUAAGACGCGAUUAAUUUAAAUGACGAUAAAUCAUGUCAUUUGAUUCGCCAUAUCGCAGCGGUAAUAAUAAAUAAUAGCGCGGCACAGCCCCGGAUUCGAAAUGGCUCUCGCGACGCCCCGUCAAAUACGGUGAAAUGCACUUUGAGACGUGUCGUGCCGGCGAAUUAUUUUCCGGUGGGUACUGGCUUCCGUAGGAAUAUCAAUGUCACGGAAUUACGACCGUCAGCGAGACCAAUGUGAGGCGCAUUCGUGUCUCGCGAAGUGAGCGGCUAAGUGAUUGCCGCCAGCGGGGGCUUUCCCACAGGAGCGCGUUCUUAUUCUGCAAUCCGGAUGUGACAUUUACUAUCAAUUUACGACGUCGCGGGCUGUUAAGCACGACCCGCGACAUAUACACGUAUACACGUGCACGCGUAUAACAAACACGUGUAUAACGCCACGUAAAGGUUACACCGGCAACUCACCUUUUCAAGAAGCGCCGUCCGCUUUAAUUUCUUUUUAAAAUUCAAUCUCUCGCUUUAAUCGUUUCUCUAAUAAAAGUGCCGUGAUAAAAUGAGCGAUGUGUAUCCAAGCAACAUCGCUUUCAUGUAUGGGACUGAAUCGCUUCAAUCGCUCAAUGAUUUUUUUUAUUACUCGGAUGCUUUGAUGUAUGGGACUGAAGUGAUGCUUAGAUUGACGCGACUCUUUUCUCGUAAUACGAAAAAGAUAUUUUUCGAAUAUUUAAUUAGAUGUUUAAACGUAUAAAUAUUUGCUUUAAUGAUCAGUGUAACAGACAAUAUACGCUUAGCGAGUAACAUAUAGAUAAAUUUUAUUAAUAUUAGAUAAGUAUUAUAUGUAUACGUACAAUAUUAUACAUAUAUGUAUAUGGAUAUUCUACACAUUUGAAAAAUUCUAUAUAUUUUUAAAAAUUAAAUUAAAUUUAAAAAAUUCUACCAAUAUUAGAAGUCGUCUGUCUCAUUAUAAUACCAUGCAGUUUAACUAAUGAAAGAGAUAAUAUAAUGUGAUAUUAGAAAUUGAAGUAUGUCUGAUCAAAUACGAACUAUAACUACUUAAUAUCAUACUAUAAUGAAGAUUUUCUUUCGUUAUAAGUGUUACAUUUUCUUUUAAUAUAUCUUUUUCUUUUCACUCUUUUUUUCUUUUCGAAACAUAAGAGUAUAUCUCUAUUUUCGAUACAAGUUAAAAAAGUGACUAAAAAUAAUAUAGAUUUAAUCGACUUUCUAUUAAUUCAGCUAAAUUAGCUCCCAGUAGAUUUUAUCGGCUUUGAAUAAUUCACCAAACGUCUCAAAAAAUGUAUGAAAGAUUUAAAAAGGAAAUACGUAUUUUAUUUGAUAGUAUUAAUGAAUUAAUGAUAGUAUUAAUGAAAGUAUCAGAAUUACUUUGUAUUAAUAAAAUUGUCUCAAUAUCUUGAAAUAAUACUGACAUCGGAAAUUAAUCUGAAAAAUAUACAUAAAAUAUUCACACAUAUUAUUUCUGUAAUAACGUUACAUUUAUAAUUUAUCAAUAAUUCAUAUCAUUAAUUGCAAAUUAAUUUUAAUAUGAUAAUCUAAUAACGCACUGCAUAUAUUUUCGUAAAUACGAGACUGCGAAUUCCUUCCACUCAAAAAAUUCACAUAAAUUUAGUAUCGUCAAAUAAUCCAAUACGAUCACGUAACGAGAUAUAACACCGCUAUCCGAUAGAUUACAAAAUCACGAUGACAAUGCAUCUCAGUAUUCGCGAAUCUGCCGGGAUAAUUCCAAUUAUAUUUCUCGUCGGAUAAAACACCCGUGCGCGAUAAAAUGAUACUCAGCCGAAACGUGUAACGCUGAUUGCACAUCCCGUAACACGAUUACGGAUCCUCGAUUAGGCAAAUCGCAGAUAAUUAAGUACACGGCGGGCGCGAAUCGCAUCGGCGAGCGUCGCGCGCGCCCUUGCAGCAGUCGCCUCUGUAAAUGAGGACAUUAUUGCGAUUAAUAAUUUUUCGGAAUUAAUUAUCGCGCCGGAGUUCGGGCGGCGCGCGCGUAACCGGCAGCAAUGAUUGAUGGAGGCUCCAUUAUGAAUCGCGCUGUGAAAUUAAUCGCUUCCUCCGCCCCGCUGCCGCCCGCCGUCCCCACGUACACACGCCACCCCGACUCACUGCCUCCCUUGACCGCGCGCGACGGAUUACGAAUGGACCGAUGAUGAAUACGCGAUUUCCAGGUUCGCCUACCCAUGGGGCCUACCCAUAUCGUCGGCACGCACCUGCCUUCCGGUGCAGACGCGGCUUUUUCUCCGCACAUUAAAUAUUCAUUAUACCCGCGGCGCGUUUCGCCGUCGUGCUUUUUACCCGGACGACCUAAUUCGCGAGAUAUUAUUUUCGGAUUUCAGCACGCGCGCGUCUCGAUUCUUGCCGUUUCUGCCGUAAUUUGGGCCUCGAAAUUUUCACUGGAGAACCACAUGGAACGGCAUAGAACGCGGUUACGUUAUAUAUAUACGUCUUACAUAUGUAUGUAUUUUGAGGUUCAUAUGUGCUAUAUGCAUCUUUAUUAGUCUUUUAUUUGCUGAUAUAUUAUAUCUCGCUUUAGAGAAGGAGGAAAAGCUCAAUAAACAUUUUCAAACGAUAAUUUCUUUCUGGAACUUUGUUUAUGACAGUUUCAACUGACUUGACUAAUUAUGACUGACACAAGAUAUUAUAUGCAAUCCUGUUAGCCUAGCAGAAACUAGCCACAAUAAUUCAGCGGAAAUCCACGGUAAGAGCACAGGCACUGACAGUAUUAUUUGACAGGAACUUAUUUUUAGAUUUGCCUGAUAACAUAAAUCAAAGGCUGCGAAGUUGCGAUAAACAAUAGCUACCAGUCAGAGAUUUUAUCAAGAGAUAAAUAAUCGCGUAUCUGUACAGUCCAAGGAUUACGUGCCCAAGCUAUGAGGCAGCCUGUAUAGGUGAAACGGAAGGGGUGGCAUUGCAGCGCGAGGGGUUUGGCCGGGCUCGUCCAAAAGCGCCAGGAGAUGCACGGGGCGGUUAGGCAAUUUUACGCUCUCCCAGUUACAAAAACCAUUUACGCUUAAAUGCCCUCGCGUCCCCCAAAGUCCCACAAACACUCCCUCGUCAACCGCCGCCUCCCUCGGUCCCCUCGCCGAAAAUUCCGCCUCGCCCGGCUAGACGUGACACGACGGACACCCCCGGGGGGUUUCGGUGUCCUGCAAACGUCCAGCCGGAAGGGGACAAAAUCGGUUGUGCAGUUCGCGAGUGUACACCGCGAUCGGGAACCAUCGAUAGCGAAACGAGAUGUCGGUAAUCCGUCGCGCGUUCUUUGCGCGCGCUCGCAAAAUUGGAAAUGUCCACCGCACGAUUUACAAUCCGCCACGUGUCGCAGCGAUUAACCCCUUCCCCUCCCCGACAGACUGGUAAUUUUUGCUCGCGUGCCGAAUGAUGGAACGAACCGAGUGACACAUAUGUGUCCUCCGCGUCAGCUGGAAGGGUUAAUCAGGUGUCACGCGAUGUGGAAUCGAGCGAGUGCAGCGGCGGGAUUCAACGACCCGAACGAGACGAUCGCGCGAACUCGCAAUUUAUUUAUUCAUUUAUUUUUAUUAAUUUUUAUUUAUUAUUAAUUUUUAUUUAUUUUAUUUUAAAAAAUGCACAAAUGGAAUAAUACGUGCAGAGAGAUUUGUAGAUUGCAACGUUGUGUCAAGAAGAAUCUACGGCUGAAAAAUAUUCUACUUUUAAAUUUCUUCCUUGACAAAUCUCCGACAGACGGAGCCGAUGCUCGUCGACGUUAGUCGAGUGCACCGGCAAAAUUUUGACAACGAGAAGAAAUCCUCUUGGCAAGCGGAGACAAAUUCAGAGAAACUCUUUUCCAGUGCAAUCGUCGUUCUCGGAGCACGCGUGUGUUCGGAUCGAGAUGAGGAACGAUAGUCCGUUUCAAUAUGCAUCGCGCAAUUUCGGCGGCCGUAAAGUUUCCAUCGUGAUCUUUCAAGUUUCCGCGCACGAGUCUCCAUCGCACUGGCUGUCCUUCGCUGAAUGGAAAACGCACCGGCGGACAAAUUUCGAUGCCGAUCGUCGUGCAUGGCGUAUGUGUGUACGAGAUUGCGAAAGACGCCAUUUCACGAGACAACUGCUGCACGUUUGAGCGCAUUACGGAUUGCGUCCUGGUUCUCUCCAUCCCUCUUCCUUCUUUUCUCUUUCACCCUCUCUCUAUCUUAUCCUCGCGCGCCGGGGUUUCCGCCGUAUCUCCGUCUCGCUUGCUUGGGAUAAUCCGACCGAUUACGUUAUGUUUAAAUAUUUAUCGGGCUGCAUUAGGGAAACAUGAGCCCUCUCUAUGCAUGGGAGCGCAGCACGUGGGAUAGCCAUCCCUUUCGCGCCCUCCGCCGCGCCUCUCGCGUCCGCCACCCCGUACUCGCCAGCUCCGCUGCCUACCUCUCCGCACUUCCUGCCGCCUCUUUUAACCCUUUUGCCUUGCCGGUCCCCUCGGUCAUCCCCGUCGACGGGUGGUGCAGGUAUCCGUCCGCUCUACCUCCCCGAACCAACCCCGGUUCGCAUCGCGACCAUGCCGUGCGACACGCGUACACACGCACACAAACCGGGCAUACCGCGAACCGGAAACUAAAUUCUCGGCAACGAGCCCGCCGAGCAUGCUCCCAAUUACGCGGUGCUCGCGGGACGAAAUUGAACGACCGCGGCGUUUUUCGGCUCCUGCGGCGACGGUCCUACAGUGAAUAUGGAGGGACAAAAUGGGACAGACAAGCGGAAGAGAGAGAAAGAGAGAGGUGCAUCUGUUUAUAUCGCAGCGCGACUCCUCCGAGGAUAAGCAUGAUAAAGUUCAAGCAAUGAAUAGGUAACGUUAUUACCGGAACGUGCAUGGGAACAAAGGAGACUUCUGAAAGUUCACGCGUGAUGAGUAGGCCAAUUUUGGUGCCGUGACAAUUAAAUGCGCUGCCGUGACGACAGCCCAACGUUCCACCGAAAUUUCGCGUUUGCAAGUGAAUAACUUAUUUUCAAGGGAGAAACUUCACAGUUCGCUCUUUCGGUUUAACGCAAUAACUCGACAUAGAAUACACAUGAGACCUUUUCUGUUAACCUCGAUUAUAUAAUUACCUCAAAUUUUCAUUAAAACGCGAUUAGCAUGACCCAUAAAGAAAAUGCAGCUGGAGAAUGAAGAAUCUAUUAGCAUCCAAAUUUAUUACCAUUCUUUCCAGUUUCACAAAUUCUUAAUCAUGUCAAAUCUCUUAUUUCCGUUUACAUAGAAAAUUGUUGCAUUCUUUCGUCGAAAAUCAAAUCGCACUGCCAACUCUUAACUCACUGUGGUAGAGAACAAGAAUCGCGCGAGUUUCCGAAACUCGCGACGCGUACACACAGUUCGCUGUGUCAAUUCCGCUCUUAUGCUAACUUUAAGUAGACCAGAAUCACGUUUGCGCGUUGCGAACGUGCAUGCAAUCAUCAGAUACCGCCGUAAACAUCUUCACUAUAGCGCGAGGGUUGCUUCGUGCGCCUGAAGCGCUUUAGGGACGGGUAAUAUUUAACGGGUACGCUAAAGUCGAACCGGACGCAGAUACGAUCGCGUUAUUCUAAGUGCGGUCGCGAUAAUUUUGCGUGCAGGCGAGAACGGAAGCGGUGGCUCGCUAGGGAAAGGGUCGUAGAGCGGACAAGAGAGGGUGUAGAGGGUGGUGGGCCACUCCUGACUUAUCGUUCCUCGUAAAGGAGCACGGAGAACGGCUCGGCACAAAUUCGGGACACAAAGCGCCGCCAUUUCUCGCGCGGCCUUUCUUGCUGCGUUCUCCAUCUCGCAGCAAAAGAGGAGAGAGGGAAGAAACGCGAGAGGGGAGCUCUCUUGUAGGGGCGAAAGUGCGGUGGUUGCGCAAGGGUUGCUUGACACAACAUAAAUAACAUGAAUGUGGGAGACAAUAACAAAUAUUUUUAAGGCAAAUAUUUUUAACGCAAGCUCGCUUGAAAUUAAACGAAGGAUAUAUUUUCAGUUAAUUUUUCAUGGCCCUCUCCCUUUUGACAUUCCUGCUACCUAACUACAUUUACAAAACCGCCUACGUUUCACCGCUUACAAUUCGACGAGAGCCAUCGAUGUCUCGACACCGAAACAACCACGAGUCCGCCCAAUUUCCCUCCUACCAUCUGCGGUUGAGAGGAAGUGCGAAAGUUUUGAGACAACGUGUAUACAACGAGAGCGAGAGAGCGGGCAAAAAUAGCGGCGGAGACCGAACGAGGAGGAGAAGGAGGGGGAGACAGAAAGGCGCGCUUUGACCAUAGGUAUUCAUGAGCGCAGCCUGCCUGGUGGAUUAGCAUGUGAAAGAACGCUUUGCCCGUCGCUUUCCACCCCGUGUGUUCCCUCUCUGCAGUCUUCUCUUCCUCUCUUUGCCCGGGCACAGUCCUGCCAUCUCAUAUUUUUCGAGGGGGACCGCACCGUGACCGGGGCCCCGUAUAUUCAACCGUCGAGAAAUGCUCGAGCCGGCACGUUAAUCGAAUACCCUGCGAAUCAACCUAAAGGGAAAAUGCGGCGCGGAAGAAAAAGCUCGCGCAGCUUUUGAAGCCCUCGAAGUUCUCGGUUAUCCAUCAUCAAGCACAACGUCGCGAGACCUUUUUGAUAUCAGUCCGCUUAUCUCGAAGACGAGCUACGAAAAUUCGUAACAAGUACGUUUGUGUUUAUCUUUCGAUAUUCUCAAAAAGAAAUUGAAAGUUAGAUGAUUGAAAGUGCGAACGACACUGAUUUUAUCAAUUUAAAAUUUGUUAAUCUCUUUUGUUAAAUAAGUUGUUAAAUUCUUUGCGAUUCCUGCACUUUCUAUCGCUUUCAUCUGCUACGCAUCGUUCCUGCGGAAUGUCUCACGCGGCUACCGAUUCAUCGCACUACUCUGGCGUAUUCUUUAAUUUGUGAAAAUAUCACUUGGAAAUAGAGACCUCCGUCCACGUCAUCUUUACAGCCGGAAACGCGCGGCGAAGAAAUCGCGGAGUUAGGUCGACGCGAUCGUGUCUCCUCGGUUCUCGCGGAAAUAUGAGUUCGCUCGUGGAAAGGCACUCGACGUUGACGGGCUACGAGCUCCAUCGGAGUUUUAAUCACAUUACUCGGCUACGACGGGCGAGCGUGUCACCAAGCUUUUGCUUCGACCUAAUCGAAUGAGAGAGGUCUUACGCCGCCACCAACCCCGUACUCGCGCCCCUUUCUCUCCCUCCCUCCCGUUCUCCACCGUCGCGCUCCCAUUACCGGCCGGAUGUAUAAAUGCGAGCAGUGAUACGUCUACGUCUUCCGCCUUACAGACCUCCUCGAGGAGCGGUGCGCGAACGCGUGCGUGCGCGUGUGUGUGUAGGAGGGUGGAAGGGUGAGAGGGAGAGGAGGUAGUUCUUUGAGGAUAUUCAUGAGGAGAUUACCAUGUGAAACGCCUAGCCUUCUCUUUUCGUCGCCUCGCGCGUUCCCUCCCCUCGUUCGCCUGAUCCUUCUCUUGCACCAUCGCCUUUUCUCCCGAUUCUUCCUGGUCCUGAGCGACCUCGAAGAGAGUAACUCGUUCAGUUACCUGAAUAACUCACGGCUCCUGGAGUCGCGGAGCCGAGUCUCGCUCGAACGAACGAAAAUGGCUGACUUUUAGUGCAACGGGGAAUAUGUCCAUUCCGCGUUUUUCAGGAGAGAUAUGAAACGGGGUCUUUUUAUUACGUUUACGUCACAGGAAGGCAAUUUAAAUUGCUUAUAUAAUCCACAUUUUUCAGAAUUCAGGGGAAAAUUACAAAUGCGUAAAAAGAUCGAGUUUAUAGGGAGAAGUUGGGAAUUUCCCUUGGGCGGAAAUGGCGACGGCAUGCUAAUAAAGACGAAAAAAAAAAUACAUGAUGAAAUAAGAAAGGAACAGAAAACACGAAGGUGAAUGGUGAGAAUCUUUCGGGAAUUUGAGACGGAUUUCCGAAGAGGGGCGCGGGUGAUGGAGUAGUCCGGGUUAAAAUGAAUAACAUUGGAGAUUGACAGCGAAUGAAUUCAGAUGUAGCGUGGAGAUUUAAUUCAUGAUGGAUUUGCCAGUUGGGAAUAAACAACGACGCAUUUGAUAUCGUGAAAAUAAAUUUGCUUUGAAAAAUUCGCGAUUCGUAAAUGCGUGGCACGUCAGCUUCACACUAGAAUAACAUGUAUAAAUCUUAAUAAGAGACAAUCGUGACGGCCUUGUAUUUUUUGGCAUCAUAAUAUUUUAUCACGAUAAAAUUAAUGGCUAUUAUGUAACCGAUCAUGUAAAAAUAGAAUUAAUUUGAUCGUUAGACAAGUUCUUUGCGAUAUUGUAUUAUUGCAAUUACAGUUUCUCGCGAUGGGCGUUAAUUUAAUCGCCUGCGUAGUGCACAAUUAAUUCAUUAACUAUAUGUAUCUCUAAUAAGCAAAUUUGUACAGUUUCAUAAAUCCGUUUAAAAAUGGGUCACCAGAUUAUGCGAUCGAUAAUUUACGCAUGGAAAGACAUUAUGUAAAAGUGUAGAUUACGUGAGAGAGAAGGAAGACGAAAUGAGGGGGUAGGAGGAUUUAAAGGUGUAUAAACCAUAUUUAUGAAGGAUUUAUGCAGGAUUAUAGACAAUGGCAGAGAGGGGAGGCUGAGAACGAGAGACGUGAUAUUCUCCGUUAAGACACGCUUUUAAAGGAACACCUACGGAACUUGACUGGAAAAUGAAGGGUCGUCAGAAGAGAAGCCGUAGAUCCGCAGGAAGGGGCGAUCAACGAGAAAAUAAAAACGUAUGAGGCGGUCGAGGGAGAAAGAAGAUCAGUGUUGUAGCGCGAGCAAUAAUCCGAAGAAGGAACAUCCGCCGGGAACGAAUGUAAUUUCCGAAUAAGCCGCGCGCUGCCGCUCGGCAUUGGAAUAAAAUCAAAGAAGUAUAUCCAAUAUCCAUUCGAGGAAUGGAUACGAUCGCGGCCGAUUGUGAGGAUCGAGUGCAUCGUCUCGAAAAUCAUUCUUCCGCGUCGUUCGGUUAUCUAUAAAGUAGGACACUUUAGUGGGACGCGUGAUCACAUUUCGCAUAUCUAAAUCUCAUUCUCUGCCGCGUUCUUACGAAAUUGUACAGAAAAUUGUAGCGUGCGAGAGUUUAUACCUUGUAAUUGAGUAAAGUGGUCAAAUGGAUUAUAUAUAAAAACAUAUUAGAAACUUUCGUAAAAGAAUUUUCUAGAAACUUCAUUAGGCGGACAACAGGAAGCUUAGAGCAACUUGCGGACCUCCAGCAAGUGUCGGAUUCCGUUCUCCGUCGAGAUAAAAAAAUGUUUUAAACAUUAUACUCCUUCAUAUCUUUAUACAAUCGCUGACAAAGAAGACUGAAGGGCUAUUUUCUCUCCUUCCAGCGAUUCGGUCGAUUCGACUGCCGAGUGUGACGAACGAGAGCCACGCUCCGCCUUAUCAGCAUGCAUUAGGCAGUUCUAGUCGACUUACCCGACUUACUCGCUACUCGUCGGCUCCUUCCGCAGGCACCCUCGAAUCACGCCUCACCCUGGCUCGUACGAAAUGUCAUGGCACGACGUCCUUACGGCGCUCUCACCCUCGAGAAGCACGACAGAUUCUUAAACGCGUCCCAAUUUGUCGGCAACGAGAUUCGCUCACUAACGCUGCGAGAGCCACGCCGACACUUUGCAUGUUUAAUACAGGAUAACACAAGACGCUCGGUGACUUUAUGUCACGGCUGCGAGAUUCUAAAGCAAUUUGAACAUGGAAAUGUCAUAGGGAAACAACAUUGUUAAAUGUCGCGUGUAGACCAGCAGUAUUGCGUUUCUGAGUGAAAGAAGCAACGUCGGAAACGAUGCAUAUUUACUGUGGAUUCCUCUCGGCGAGACUUUCAACGACGAUUCAUUUUCAAAGACGCGCGGUUAUCCUUUACAAAUUACUGAUUCCUUGACGGUCUUCAAGAUCGAAACUCUACUGAUUAAAUCAGCACAUCUGACCGCUCCAGGCAAAACACUCGCGCGCGGAAUCACCGACGUCGAAAUGGAAGCCGAGUUUUGCGGACACUCUAGCGCUCAUUAAUAUGUAUUAGACGACUCGGGCGGACUUACUCUUUCAUUGUCCGCACGCUUUGCCGACCGAUCGGCCGCCUCUCGGGGUUCGAUUUGCCCCUUAUCACUCGAGCACUCCAUAUUCCUCUUCCGCCACAUUUUCGUCUUCGCUCUUUCUUUCUCUAUCCCUCCCCCGUCAUCCUUCCCGCCGUCGUCACCCCUGCACGAGGCAGUCGGCUACUUCGAGCAAUUUGCGUGGUGAAAAAGUUUGAUUACUUUUCUAAGCGCGUACGAAGAAAGUGGGCUAGUGUUACGAGGGGGAGAAGUCGAUAAAAGAGGAAAAAGGGAGGGGAAAAAAGGUGCAAAUUUUUGCCCGCUCGGAUCGAGAACAAGGCAUUCUAUUUUUGUCUAGCAGCGUUAAUAAAUCGUACGGAAAAAAAUGAGAACGAGAAAUCUCUUAUCUUUCAGAGAGUAAACUCUUCCUCACGAUAAGACUACGCCAUUCUCAUGUUGCACUUUGUACAAUCGCUCGUGCCAACUUUGUAAAAAUAAAUUCGCAAGUGCUGGCAGAUAAAGGAGUUAUAAUCUACUUUCAAUCUGCUUAAAUCUAUUUGUUAUUUAACAGUCGCUGCACAAGAUAUCUUUACGUGGUGAACAUCGUGUUGGACAUUCUGUGCAGAGAGAUCUGCGGUGUAAUUGCGUUUCGUCGCCUUAUCCCAACGACGUUUGAAGUAAAACGACCCCGCUCUCCUCUCCGCAGCCUUACCCUUUAACGAAUUCUUCUCCCGAUCGCUUUCCCGUCCUCGGCUGUUCGUCGUCAUUGUCGCAGCGCGUUUUGCGAGAGCCGUGCUCGAUCGCAGCCUCUCCGUCUUCCUCCAACUUUAUCCCGCUCGUUCCUCCUCGCUAAUCCCGCGCGUUUAUCUGGCACUCCGGAAAAACCGGACGGAUUAAACUAUCGAAGAUUCUCCCCGCAACUACUUCGCCUUCUCUCUCGGCGUAUCAAAUCUCUCCUCGAGGUCUCUCCAUCUCUUCCCACAAGCUCCAACUUGAAAUUUACCCCCGCGUUACUUAAAUUAUAUAUCGCAGUUACUACUCGUUACUUAAAACUCGAUUCAUUUGCGUUACUUUAAUCUUUAUUUUCCCUUUUGUCAGAUUAGGUUUCAUCUGUUGCCUUGCGUUCUCGUUUUCAUGUUACAAAUAUGAUGCCAGCGUACCUAUUCCAAGUUUCGUCGAAGGUAUCAUCAAAAAUAAGAAGAGAGCAACGCUUGAAAAGAAAUCCUUGAAGAAGAAACGCGCGUCGCGGAAAAACGCGGACGCACGCGCGUAUAGGGAUACAUGUGUCUUCAGUAAAUGGACGAUAUAUAGGUAGGACAUAAGGUCGCACGCGCAAGGUCAAUCCUGGCGAAUGGCUCGAGCAAUUUUCACUUCGCUCGGGUUAUGCUCACGCGACUCCACCUCUGGCGGCUCCUUCUCUCUUGUUUGCUACGUAGACAGCAAGCGUGGACAGAGAGUGCAGAGGACAGUACGGGAGGAAAGCAGUAUGGGACGUGCAGAGGAAGAAGAACGUGUGUGUGAAAGAAAGGAGAGAGACACCGCGAGCAGGACGAAGAGCGAGCGAAUUUACUGACUCGAGGAGUCGUCCUGAUUUUCCUCCCCUGCGAGAUUGCCUCGGCUGCACACCUUCUCAACGAUUGACAAGACCACUUCCUUCCCUUGCCCCCGUUCUGCUCGGUUUCUACCUCUUUUCUACCCCUUCGUGUUCGCGCGUUUGUAGCCGUCCUCUCCUGCUCAGACGCUCUCGAUGCGCUCGUCCCUUCCUCGUUGCUACAAAAUUGGACGACGCGAGAAAAUUUGCCAUCUCCACGCGCGCGUUCCCAUUCACCCUCACGGUCACCUCGUUUGCCUCCUCCAUCCCCCGGCUUCGUCCUCGUGGAAGCGAAGUCCACGGACCAAGGAGAAGGCUCGCCGUCCGAAAUUUGGGACGCGCGCACAGCCGGGCGAUAUUGUUUCACAUUGUGCGAGUUUCGCGCUCCUCCUUCCCAGGGUGUAACUUAUGAAAAGCGUCGCAAUCCACCCCGGGCGCGUAAAACGUUUAUUAAGUCUCUGCGAAAUGAACUCGAGAGGCGCUUACGGGAUCUUACGACGUACGUGCGUGUAUACGAGGUGCUCCGAAAGAAUACCGACGCCAAAGACCGGCAACGUGUUCCGCUAAGAGCGAGGAUGAAAACGUGUCGUCACGUGGCACGGUAACACCGCGACGUUAUAGCAACUAAUUUAAUUCUGCAGCUUGAAAGGCGAAACUGGCCAAACCGAUUUAGAAUCGGGCGAACAAGUUUAGAAUAUAUUUCAAAAAACGUUGCAGAUCGAACAGCAACAUUAAUUAAUUUAGUUUUGUUUGAGAUCAAUGUUAAUAUUGAUAUUAAUAUGUAUAAUAAAACUUUCAGUCAGAGUCAGCGUAAGAUUCGCCGAAUACAAGACGACUAAUAAGAUAAUAAUAUACAUAUAGUGUCGAGCGUAGAACCAUUAUUUCCUUAUGUGUCAUUCCUAAACCACAUUUAGCGGAUGUUGAAAAUCUUGCCAUAGAUUUCAUAUUCCUAACAGGAAAUGUAAUUUCCUGUAUCACAAUUAUAAACUGGUAGCACUGCAGUACGCGAACAGUACAAGACGUAAAUGCAGCACAAACGGCUCUUCUUCUAAAAACAAUUUAUUUUUAUUUUUAUCUCAUUCCAAUCAUAGUAUUGUGAUUAAAGAGCAAAUUGCAUCGUUUAAAUAAAAGAUUGUGAUUUAUUAACAAGUGGUUCAAUUAAUUUAAAAUUGAUACACAUAUAUGUAAAACUAGGUUUACGUAAUCGUUACCUAAAAUAAUACAUGCUAGAAUGUAUAACGUGACAAUCGCGUUUUGCUUACUGCAUUUCGGAUGAAUGGUAGAUUUAUCAAAAAGAUAUAUACGUUUAAUUAUGAUGAAAAAUACAAUAACGGGCGUGUUAAUCUCCUUUCUCUUCGUAAGUGAGGUACGUCAUGUUUUUGGAACAGUAACUGUAAUACGCGAAAUAACUUACGCAAACGAAAGAAAACUGACAUGCCUCUCAGAAGACGAUGGCAGUGCACUUGUUUGGAACGAUGUAAUCUCGGAAGAAUCAUUGAAAAGAUCCAAUAAAAUGCGAUUUUACAACGUGGGUCAAAUUAAACCAGAUAAAAACAAAAUAGAUUGCAAAAUGAAGGAAGGCGAUGAGUGCAUAAAAUCGUGGAUUACAGGAAAAUGGAGCUUUACAGAUUCCCUAAUAACACCUUUAGGUCCGGUAUUUGAUGAACGAUGGGAAGAAUUCACAGAAAAUAAAAAAUUAGACAUCCAUUGUUUUCAUCAUGUAGAAUUAAAAAAUACUACAGCAUUCUCAAUUUCGAUGCGUAAUGUCAAACAGUUUACUGCACAGUUCUGCAACAAUCCUGAUGCUUAUGAACAGAGCCCUUGCUAUUGGAUCGCAAUAGGUGCAACAGAUAAUAUGUGAUCCGGCAUACACAGGUGCCCGACAGGCAUGAAGUCGAAAAUUGAAAAAGACAAACAAGAAUGUUUAAAACCUAAAGUCAAGGUCCAGGUAAAAUAUAAUAGCACCAAUUUUUACUUUAUGUAUACUUGAGCUAUUCUUCCUCUAUAUGUGCAUAACCUAUCACAUAGCAAAAGGCAAAAUAUAUACAAUAUCUAUUUAUAUCUAAGAUUCGUACACAUAUCAAUAUUUUCAUCAUUCCUGAAAAGUUGCAAUUUUCAUACCAUAUUCUAAACUAUAUUCUAAAAACUUGGAUUUUCGGGAAUAUAAAGUCGCCAGAAUCAUCUCCUAUAAUGUUCUACUUAGAAAUAAUUGAUAAUUAAUACAGCAUAGUCCAUUAUCUUCAACUGAAUGGCGAACUUUUCUCAUUAUGUGGGACUCUGUAAAUCGAAAUAUAUCUCUCUACGAUGCUAC